rnacentral:lncRNA from 1 species
CAGAUGGAUGUACGUGGAUCCCUUGCAGAUCUUUUUAACAUGCAGUUGAACCCGCUGUUGGUUUAAGAUGUAUGGAGAGCCAAGUGAGACGGGAUCUUCUUUGAAGAGCUUGGGAGGUUGGAGUAAUAAUUGGUGUACUGCUGUAAUACUUUUCUCUACUGCUUUUCUCAGCAUCUCAUAUUUUAGUAGUUUCUUCAGGUUAGAUUUAAAGGCUUAUAGAACAAUCUCCCUCCUGUAACAGUUGGAAUAUGAUCUCGUGCACACUUUAUGGAUGUACAUCAUUAUUAAAAUGACAAUUUUGUAGGACUUGCAGAAUUUAACUGCCUGGAUUGCGCAAAUUAGGCAUGAAUUUUAUCAGGCUUAGUUGCUAGCGUGUGUCUGAGUUGCAGUCUUAUGUAUGUAAGAGGCCUAAGCAUAUUAUAAAGUAACAUUCCUAUAGUGAGUCAUUUAUAGUGUAUUAUUUGAGUUCACUCUAAUGUACAGGGUCUUGUCCCUAUUCUUUUUUAUCGGGUUAAUAAUGAUAUUGUGACUUUUUUGGAUUCUUUCUCUCAUCUUUCUAUUGUUAUAUCUUAAAAUAUCUAAGGAUGAGGUUACUUUUAUCUUUUCCUUGUAUCAAAAGACAGUUAAAGCUCUUCUAAUUAUUUUUGUAAGGUUUGGGACCCUUGCUCAACAUAGAGUUCUAAAAUCUGAUGAACCCUCUUGCAUCAGUAGGCGCUCUUUCAAUAUUUUUGGCCCUGAGUCAUUGACCGUCAUUUGACCUCACAGGGGAAGCCGGCACGAUGAUCUAGCCCCAAAAGCCCAAGAAAUGGUGUGGUAUAGCCACUUUUUAAAGUGGUAUUUACUUUUUAGCCAGUGUUUUUAAUAUUGAGCAAAAAUAGCCACUAAUUUAUUAAAAUCGAUACAAAGUCAUUUUUACCUUUUCUUCAUGAGUGAUGUGUAAAUAUUAAGGACAUGGUGUCCUUAAUUUCAUGAGUGUUGUGUAAAUAUUAAGGACAAACCAUGUCUUAAUAUUUUACACAUCACUCAUGAAGUUAAGGACACUAUGUCCUUAAUAUUUUACACAUCACUCGUGAAGUUAAGGACACGUGUCCUUAAUAUUUACACAAUACUCAUAAAGUCAAGGACACUAUGUCCUUAACAUUUACAAUGCACACAUGAAGUUAAGGACACCAUGUCCUUAACAUUUAUACUGCACAUAUGAAGUUAAGGACACGAUGUCCUUAAGUUUAACAACAGAAGGUGCAAAUGCAAGUUAAGGACAUUAUGUUUUUAACAUUUACAUUGCACACAUGAAGUUAAGGACACUAUGUCCUUAACAUUUACGCUGCACAUAUGAAGUUAAGGACAUGAUGUCCUAAAGUUUAGUUGGAAAUACAAGUUAAGGACAUUAAGUCCUUGAUAUUUACAUUGCACACAUGAAGUUAAGGACACCACGUCCUUAACAUUUAUACUGUACAUAUGAAGUUAAGGACAUGAUGUCCUAAAGUUUAAAUCCAAGUUAAGGACAUUAUGUCCUUAACAUUUACAUUGCACACAUGAAGUUAAGGAUACUAUGUCCUUAACAUUUACGCUGCACAUAUGAAGUUAAGGACAUGAUGUCCUAAAGUUUAAGAACAGAAGUUGCAAAUACAAGUUAAGGACAUUAUGUCCUUAACAUUUACAUUGCACACAUGAAGUUAAGGACACCACGUCCUUAAUAUUUACACUGCACAUAUGAAGUUAANNNNNNNNNNNNNNNNNNNNNNNNNNNNNNNNNNNNNNNNNNNNNNNNNNNNNNNNNNNNNNNNNNNNNNNNNNNNNNNNNNNNNNNNNNNNNNNNNNNNNNNNNNNNNNNNNNNNNNNNNNNNNNNNNNNNNNNNNNNNNNNNNNNNNNNNNNNNNNNNNNNNNNNNNNNNNNNNNNNNNNNNNNNNNNNNNNNNNNNNNNNNNNNNNNNNNNNNNNNNNNNNNNNNNNNNNNNNNNNNNNNNNNNNNNNNNNNNNNNNNNNNNNNNNNNCCUAUCCCCCUGUGUGCCUUGCCUCCCACGACUAAAAUAUAUAUUUUUCUGUUAUUAUUUUGAGAGGACCUAUAUAAUGUCAUUUUCUCAAAAUGAUGGUAAACAUGUAAGGGGUCGUUUGGUAUGAGGUAUAAGAAGGUAUAGUGCUGAUAUAAAAAUUUAAUACCACCUUAAUACUUUGUUUGGUUAGCAAACCUGGUAUAAGUUAUCCCGAGAUUAAAAUUAGUACCGGGAUAACUUAUACCUUGUAGAGGGUGGGGUAAUUAGUACCAGGAUAACUUAUACUUCUUCUUAGAAAUUAUGCAGUUUUCAUUUUUAAUACAACAUACCAAACAAUGGAUAAAAAAUAAUACCAGGAUAACUAAUCUCAGCAUAACUAAUCCCACCAUAACUUAUCCCGGCAUAAUUCAAACCAAACGACCCCUAAUAGUAAAUUAGAGCCCAUUGUGGGGUGCAACCAAUGUUAUUAUCUUUUUUAUUGUAUACAGCUUCGUGCAGCUUCCUUAUUUGGCAUCCCAUAACUCAACUUGGAUCCUCUGUUUUAGUGCAUAUUGGACCUGUAGCAGUUCUUGUAUGUAUUCAACAGUGGUAGUUUGAGCUAUAAGUAGAAUAACGGGUAUGAAAUGAAUUUUAACCCGACCAAAUAAAGCGAACCAAUCACACUAAAUCUUGUUUGAACCAAUUAUUAGUUUUUGGUAAAAACGUAAAGACUUUGUGGUAAGCCUAUAGCCUUUUCGAAUAAUCAGGCAGGAUUGUGUUUUUGAUUUGUACAACAUACUGAAAUAAUGUGGGAUUCAACCUAAUUGCAUUAUGUUUAAAAAUUGUCACAUUAAGUUUGUAAACAUAAACAGUUUGCAGCUGCUCAAGAAGCCAUUGGAGAAGGCACAUGGUAGUGGACUUGUGGUAGCUGAUUUGCUUUUGGCCUACUCCAUGCUUGAGCCACAGUGGAAAACUCGAUUUGAAAGAAAGUAUGGGUUAAGCAAUGAUAAUAGUUUAUUAAAAAGAUAAAACAAAUUAUACAAGCUUCCAAGCGAUAGACAGUAAUGUAAUUAAACAGUUAUUGAAGAAGUAAAUAAAUAAGCAAUUGGCAUUAUUUUCAUCUGUCUUGCUCUCAACCAACUAUAGACUUUUCGGUUUUCAAGAGGGUAAUGCUAAACAUAAUCAUGAACAAAAUUAUACAUCGCUUCUUCUAUACUUAAUUAUGGUUAUGUGACUUGUCAGGGAGGUUUCAGAGUGAAUUGAGACACUUAGUCCCAAGGUUGAAGCCUUAAGUUGAAAGAGUUGACCAAAGUUUGACUUUUGUGUAGACGACUCUGGAACGAAAUUUUGAUGGUUCCAAUAACUUCGUAUGGCGAUUUUGGACUUGGACGUAUGUCCGAAUAUUGAUUUGGAGGUCCAUAGGUUAUUUUGGCUUGAACUGACGAACAAUGGAACAUUGAAGGUUUGGAAGGUUGAGAGGUUUGACCGAGAGUUGACUUUGUUGUUAUUAGAUUCGGAUUUCGGUUCCGGGAGUUGGAGUAGGUCCGUUGUGUCAUUUAUGACUUGUAUGCAAAAUUUGAGGUUAAUCGGAGUUGGUUUGGUAUGAUUCGACAUUAGUUUUAGAAGUUGGAAGUUCAUUAGGCAUGAAUUGGGAUGCGAUUUGUGAUUUCGAUAUUGUUUGAUGUGAUUUGAGGCUUCGACUAAGUCCGUAUUGUAUUUCAGGACUUGUUGGUAUGUUCAGACGGGGUCCCGAGGACCUCAGGUGUGAUUCAGAUCAAGUUCGAGUUUUUUUUGGACUUUGUUGGACUGUUGAUUUUCUGGUAUCAUGUUUUCUUAUACGUGAUCGCGAGGGAAGGGGCGCGAUCGCUAAGAGUUAUUGAUGGCAGCUGGAAUUUAUUCACCGCGUUCGCGAUACUGGGCACACGUUCGCGAAGCUUUGAGGUCUCAGGCCAUCGCGGACGCGAGAAAGUUCACACGUUCGCGACUAUGGCUUCGCGAUCGCGACUAUGGCUGGUAGCCAUCGCGUUUGCGAUCGUGUAGUGUAUUUUGGAGGGCAGUGAUUUUUGUUCUUCGCGAUCGUGAAGGACUUUCCGCGAUCGCGAAGGGUAAUGCCAGUGCAAGAGAUUUAAAAACCCAAAUCGAGAGUUAGAGUUACUAUUUCAUAUUUUGAGUUGUAGAGCUCCGUUUUGGAUGAUUUUAGAGGGAGUUAUCACGUCUUGGAUCGGGGAUUUUUGACUUGGAUUUAUUAUUAUUUCAUGAUUCCAUCUUCGUUUUUAGAAUUUAAUUAGUGAAUUAAAGUGAAGAAAUGGGAAAUUUUGUGAAAUCUUUUUAAAAAUAAAAAAUAGAGGUUUGAAAGUCGAUUUGAGGUCGGAAUUGGAUAAUUUUGAUAUGGUUGGACUCGUAAUGAAAUGGGUGUCUGAAAUUUAUGAAUUUUUUCAGGUUCCGAGGUGCGGGCCCAGGGUUGACUUUUUGAUUUUGAUAAAGAUCGAAACUUUAUUAUUUGAAGUUGUUUCCUAUGACACUAUUUGUUGAUAUUGAGUUGUUUAUGACUAGAUUCGAGUCGUUUGGAGGCCGAUACGCGUGGAAAGGGCUUGUUGGAGUUGUGAUUUGUGCGUUUUGAGGUAAGUAACACAUCUAAACUUGGAUUUGAGGGUAUUCAACCUUGAGAAUUACGUUGUAUGAAAGAUAUUGGGAUGAUGUACGCGCUAGGUGAUGGGCGUGUGUGCGUGCACCAAUGUGUUCAUGGUUGGGGAGGCCUUUAGGCUAUUACCGGGAUUGUUUUGCUAUCAUAUCAUCUUACUCCCACGUUCCCUCUACUUGUUUGAUUAUUUGAACUGUGAAUCAUGUUAGACAUCAUAUCUAGGCUAUGUGCUAACUGUUUGAGACUUGAUAGGGCUAUUGUUGUUGUUUCUGAGUUAUAUUCCUUAUUUGCACAUAUGUUCUUAGUCGUGAUACUAUAUCCGUGUAUGAUAUCUCUGUCUCAGUACUUCUUAUUUGAUUCCUCAUAUGUUGUUGAUACCGCUUAAGGGUAAAACUAUUAAACUGAGUAUUUGAGAUGUGUUUUACUAAGACUUGAACAGUAAAUGACUGAGUUGGGGCCUUAGAGCUGGUUUGGUACUGAUUUUAAGGUGACAUGUACGCCAAGACCAUAUUGGACUGAGUGUUAUUGUAUUGGGGCGCCGCGUGCACUAGGCCUUAUUAUUGGGCUAAAUAAUUAUAAUUAGCGCUUGGGCAUGAUCCGCCCCUCUCGAUCUGACAUGCCAGCAGUGGCACAUACACAAUAUUCCACAUAUGUGCUUGAUGAUGGGCAGUUAUGCCAGGAACCCGUACAAGGCUAAGUGUAAAUAUUCUUGAUGGAUCCACUGUGAUACUGUUGAUUGACAUGUAUAACUGACAUGUAGGCAUAGAGAUAUACUUUACUCAUGCUCCCUGAUAAUUGAUCUGCUUUAUCUCUAUUGGGCUGUAACUGUUAUGCUUGAAAGCAUGCCUAAAUUACUAAAAUGUGAACAAGCUGAACUUGAUAUUAUUGAGCUACUGUUUCUACGAUUUAUCCUUUAUAUUAUGAAUUGUUAUUAGUUAUUGGUAUUGACAUUGGAUUGUUGUUCUGAGCUCGUCACUACUUUCAACCUAAGGUUAGUGUUGUUACUUAUUGAGUACAUUGGGUCGAUUAUACUCAUACUACACUCGGCACUUUUUGUGCAGAUCCAGGUACAUCUGGUCGAGGUGAUUUUCAGGUUUGAGUUGUGCCAGUUUUGCGAGACUACGAGGUAGAUGCCAUAUCGUCUGCAGUCCUUGAAGUUAUCUUCCUGUUAUCUUUAUCUUUACUGUUCCUAUAUUCAAACAGUUGCAUUAGAGGAUUUUGCUUGUACCUUGUUAUUCAAUAGUGCUUGUGUGCUCGUUGACACUAGAUUUCGGGGUUGUGUUUAGUAGUAUUUUGACUUUAUUCUCAGAUAUUUUUAUGGUAUUCUUCCGUUGUUGAGUUACUAGACCAUGUUAUUUCAUUUUCAUUGAUGUCAUGUGACUGUUAGCUUACCUAGUGGGUUGGGUUAGGUGCCAUCACGACUUGUGAAUUUGGGUCGUGACAAGUUGGUAUAAGAGCACUAGGUUGCUUAGGUCUCACGAGUCACAAGCAAGUUUAGUAGAGUCUUGCGGAUCAGUAUGGAGACAUCUGUACUUAUAUUUGAGAGGCUAUGGAACUAUUAGGAAACUUCACUUUCUUGCAUUCUUAUCGUGCGGAUUUGUUAAUUUCGAAGAUGAAGCUUGACUCUUAUAUUCAAUCACAGAUAGUGAGGACGCGUGCGACCGAAUCAGGCGGAUGGCCACCAGUACCACCAACUAGAGCCGCGAGAGGCCGGGACCGCGGUAGAGGUCGAGGUACGGCUCGUACUACAGCUAGAGCAACACCUGUGAAGCCUCCAAUUGCUCCAGCUGUGUGCACGAGCCUGACUCAGGCAGUUCAGUCCCAGCUGCACCAGCCACUUCACAAGCCGGGAGAGGUGCUCAGACUCCCGCCGCCCGUACUCUAGAGCAGGUAGCUCAGGGACUCCGGACAUCGGGGGUACUACCAGCCCAACCGGUUACUGCUGCUGCUCGAGCCGAGGUUGGCCCACCUAUAAGUGAUAAGGAGCAGAAGAGAUUGGAGUGGUUAGGGAGGCUUAAGCCUACAGAGUUCAGCGGGGAGGAGUCAGAGAAUGCUCAGGAUUUCCUAGACCGGUGUCAGCAGAUUCUUCACACAAUAGGUAUAUUGGAGACUGGUGGAGUUGUAUUUACAACCUUUCAGCUGACUGGGGUAGCCUACAGAUGGUGGCAAGCCUAUAAGUUGAGCAGACCAGUUGGCACAAUGCCACUUUCAUUGCAUGAGUUCUCUAUUCUCUUUUUAGAGAAGUUUGUCCCAUAGACUCGCAGAGAGGAGUUGAGUAGAUAUUUUGAGCACCUACGCCAGAGAGAUAUGACUGUGACCUAAUAUGAGAUGAGAUUCAUAGAUUUGGCCUAUCAUGCUCUAUGGUUGGUGCCACACAGAGAGAGAAAGAGAGAGAGAGAGAGAGAGAGAGAGAGAGAGAGAGAGAGAGAGAGAGAGAGAGAGAGAGGAUCAGGAGGUUCAUUAAUGGCCUCAACUAUGGCCUAUGUUAAAGUUUGGCCCGAUUGGCCGAGUCGGACGCUAGGUUUGACCAGGUGAUCGAGAUUGCUAGGCGCUUGUAGUCAGUUCGCAGUCUUGAGCACGAGGAGCGGGAGGUCAAGAGGCCCCGUGGAUUUGGUGGUUUUAGUGGUACCUUAUCUGGAGGUAAGUCAUAUCACAACAAAGGUCAUUCUUACCGGCCCGCUAAGAUGGCUCGUCCGGCUCAUGGGGUACAUCAGCAAGUCAUGGUUUAUACAGUACUUUCCCAGGGCAGUCAUCUUUCAAUGCACUACCAUCUUAGAGCUCGUAUCGUGAUCCAUCAGUUCAGGGUUCAUCAGCACCGGGUUCUUCUAGCAGCUAUUCUAGUUCACGAGGUCCGACGCAGGCCCCACCGUCAUUCCCAGCUCAAGGUUGUUAUAUUUGCGGAGAGUUGGGGCAUGUGAGGAAGUAUUGUCCCCAUCACUACAGAGGUCCAAUGCAGUAGGGAGGCCAAUCUAUGACCCCUGGACCAGUUGCUAAACCACCCGCUUAUCUAGCUCGGGGUGGAGGUCGUACGGUUUGAGGUCUCCCUAGAGGGGGAGGUCAGAUAGGUGGUGGUCUGGCUUGAUGCUAUGCUUUUCCCGCCAGGCCAGAGGCAGUUGCUUCUAACGCGGUGAUCACAUGUAUUGUUUCAGUGUGCCACAGGGAUGCUUCCAUAUUAGCUUAACCCAGUUCCACUUAUUCAUAUAUAUCAUCGUACUUUGCUCGUUAUUUGAAUAUGCCCUGUGAUUCCUUAGUUACACCUGUUCAUGUAUCCACACCGGUUGGUGAUUCUAUUAUUGUGGACCAUGUAUAUUGGUCGUGUGUGGUGACUAUUGGGGGAUUAGAGAUGAGAGUUGAUCUUUUACUACUUAGCAUGGUUGAUUUUGACGUGAUUUUAGGCAUGGAUUGGUUGUCACCAUGUCACCCUAUUCCGGAUUAUCACGCUAAGACUGUGACGUUGGAAAUGCCGGGAUUGCCUAGGGUUGAGUGGAUAGGUUAUCUGGACUAUGUUCCUAGUAGAGUGAUUUCAUAUUUGAAGGCCCAACGGAUGGUUGUGAAGGGAUGUCUAUCAUAUUUGGCCUUUGUGAGGGAUGUUAGUGCUGAUACUCCUACCAUUGAGUCCGUUCCGGUAGUGAGAGACUUUCCGGAUUUGUUUCUUGCAGACCUGCCAGGCAUGCCACCCGACAAGGUCAUUGACUUUGGUAUUGACUUUGUGCCGGGCACUCAGCCCAUCUCUAUUUCUCCGUAUCGUAUCGCAACCGCAGAGUUGAAAGAAUUGAAAGAACAACUUCAGGAGCUACUUGAUAAGAGAUUAAUUAGGCCUAGUGUGUCGCCUUGGGGUGCACCGGUUCUGUUUGUGAAGAAGAAGGAUGGUACUAUGCAGAUGUGCAUUGAUUAGAGGCAGUUUAACCAAGUUACAAUUAAGAAAAAGUACACACUACCGCAUAUUCAUGACUUAUUUGACCAGCUUCAGGGUGCUAGAGUGUUCUCUAAGAUUGAAUUUAGGUCUUGGUAUCACCAGUUGAAGAUUGGGGAUUCUGAUAUUCUGAUGACAGCAUUCAGGACCCGGUAUGGUCACUACGAGUUCCUUGUAAUGUCUUUUGGGCUGACCAAUGUCCCAGCUACAUUUAUGCAUAUAAUAAAUAGUGUAUUCCAGCCACAUCUUGAUUCUUUUGUCAUAGUAUUCAUUAAUGAUAUACUGGUGUACUCACGCAACCAGGUGGAUCAUGAGCAGCAUAUGAGGAUUGUACUCCAGACAUUGUUGGAGAAGAGGCUAUAUGCCAAAUUCUCCAAGUGUGAGUUUUGUCUUGAUUCUGUGGCGUUCUUGGGGAAUGUGGUGUCCAGUGAGGGGAUCAAGGUAGAUCCGAUAAAGAUUGAAGCAGUUCAGAGUUGGCUCGGACCAUCUUCAGCUACUGAGAUUUAGAGUUUUCUUGGUUUGGCCAGGUUUUAUCGCCGUUUUGUGGAGGGUUUCUCGUCCAUUGCUUCACCUUUGACUAGAUUGAUCCAGAAGGGUGCCCCAUUCAGGUGGUCUGAUGAGUGUGAGGAGAGCUUAUCAAAAGCUCAAGACUGCCUUGACCACAGUUCCGGUUCUAGUUUUUCUUUCAACAUCGAGUUCAUAUAUGGUCUAUUAUGAUGCUUUUCAGAUUGGUAUUGGGUAUGUUUUGAUGUAGGAGGGUAGGGAGAUUGCUUAUGCUUCGCGCCAGUUGAAUCCCCAUAAGACAAACUACCCCGUUCAUGAUCUUGAGUUGGCAGCUAUUGUCCACGCAUUGAAGAUUUGGAGGCACGAUCUCUACGUCAUGUAUUGUGAGUUAUUUACAGAUCAUUGGAGUCUACAACACUUGUUUAAACAAAAGGAUCUAAAUUUGAGUAAGCCCAGGUGGUUAGAGCUAUUAAAAGACUAUGAUAUCACCAUUUUGUAUCAUCCCGGGAAGGCCAAUAUGGUGGCUAAUGCCUUGAGUAGAAAGGCUGUGAGUAUGGGUAGCUUUGCAUAUAUCCUAGUUGGUGAGAGACCGCUAGCAUCAGAUGUUCAGGCUUUGGCUAAUCAGUUCGUGAGAUUAGAUGUAUCAGAGCCUAGUCGGGUUCUUGAUUGCAUGGUUUCUCAGUCUUCUUUGUAUGAGCACAUCAGAGAACGUACGUAUGAUGACCCUCAUUUGCUCAUCCUUAAGGACACGGUGUAGCACGAUGAUGCCAAGGAGGUUUCUAUUAGAGAUGAUGGGGUGUUGCGGAUGCAAGGUCGGAUUUGUGUGCCCAAUGUGGAUGGGUUGCAUGAGUUCAUUCUUGAAGAAGCCCACAGUUUGCGACAUUCCAUUCAUUCAGGUGUCGCCAAGAUAUAUCACAACUUGAGGCAAGUAGAGAAGAAUGAAGAAAGAUAUAGUGGGGUAUGUGGCUCGAUGUUUGAACUGUCAGCAGGUGAAGUACGAGCAACAUAGGCUGGGCGAUUUGCUUCAAAGACUUGAUUCCCGAGUGGAAAUGGGAGCGUGUUACCGUGGAUUUCGUUGUUGGGCUCCCACAGACUUUGAAAAAUUUUGAUGCAGUUUGGGUGAUUGUGGAUUGGUUGACUAAGUCCGCACAUUUCAUUCCGGUUGUGAAUAACUAUUCUUCAAAGCGACUGGUAGAGAUCCAUAUCCGCGAGAUUAUUUGUCUCACGGUGUGCCGGUGUCCAUUAAUUCUGACCGGGGCACGCAGUUCACAUCGUUGUUUUGGUGAUUAGUGCAGCGAGAGUUGGGUAUGCGGGUUGAGUUGAGUACAACAUUCCACCCCCACACAGAUGUACAGUCCGAGCGUAUCAUUCAGAUCUUGGAGGAUAUGCUACGUGCUUGUGUUAUGAAUUUUGGGGGUUCUUGGGAUUAGUUUCUAUCGCUUGUUGAUUUUGCCUACAACAAUAACUACCAAUCGAGUAUUCUGAUGGUUCCUUAUGAGGCCUUAUAUGGGAGGUGAUGUCAUUCUCUAUUGGUUGGUUUGAGCCGGGAGAGGCUAGGUUGUUGGGCACUGAUUUGGUUCAGGACUUCUUAGAGAAAGUCAAGUUGAUUCAGGAUCGACUUCGUACAACACAAUCUAGGCAGAAAAGUUACGCUAAUCGGAAGGUUCGUGAUGUUGCAUCUAUGGUGGGAGAGAAGGUGUUGCUCAGAAUUUCACCCAUGAAGGGUGUGAUGAUGUUCAGGAAGAAGGGCAAGUUGAGCCCUCAAUAUAUUGGUCCUUUUGAGGUUCUUGAGUGGAUCGGAGAGGUGGACUACAAGCUUGCAUUGCCACCUAGUUUAUCGGGUGUUCAUCCAGUGUUUAAUGUUUCUAUGAUCCGGAAGUGUUAUGGUGAUUCGUCUCAUGUUUUGGAUUUUAGCACGGUUCAGUUAGAUGGGGAUUUGACUUAUGAUGUGGAUCCAGUGGCCAUUUUGUAUCGGCAGGUUCGAAAGUACAGAUCAAAGAAUAUAGUUUUGGUGAAGGUUCAGUGGAGAGUCCAUCCAGACGAUAAGGCUACUUGGGAGACCGAGCGGGAGAUGUGGAGCAUAUAUACUUGCCUAUUUGAGACUCCAGGUAUGAUUCUAGACCUAUUCGAGGACGAACGUUUGUUAAAGAUAGGGAGAAUGUUAUGACCCAGCCAGUCAUUUUGUGUAUUCUAGACCCUUUCUCCCAUUUAUCGCCUCUUCUAUGCUUAAUUAUGGCUAUGCGACUUUUCGGUGUUGUUGGAUUGGUUCCGGGGAGGUUUCAGAGUGAAUUGGGACACUUAGUCUUAAUGUUGAAGGCUUAAGUUGAAAGAGUUGACUUGAGUUUGAAUUUUAUGUAGACGACUCUGAAGUGGAGUUUUGAUGGUUCCCAUGGCUUCGUAUGGUGAUUUUGGACUUGGGAGUAUGUCCAGAUAUUGAUUUGGAGGUCCGUAGGUCAUUUUGGCUUGAAUUGGCGAAAAUUGGAAGGUUGAAGGUUUGGAAGAUUGAGAGGUUUGACUGAGAGUUGACUUUAUUGUUAUCGGGUUUGGAUUUCGAUUAUGGGAGUUGGAGUAGGUGCGUUGUGUCAUUUAUGACUUGUGUGCAAUAUUUGAGGCCAAUCACAGUUGGGUUGGUAUGAUUCAACAUUAGUUUUUGAUGUUGGAAGUUCAGUAGUUCAUUAGGCUUGAAUUAGGGUGCGAUUCGUGAUUUCAAUGUUGUUUGAUGUGAUUUGAGGCUUCGACUAAGUUCGUAUUGUAUUUAUGGACUUGUUAGUUUGUUCGGACGGGGUCCCGGGGGCCUCAGAUGUAAUUCAGAUCAAGUUUGACUUCAUUUUUGACUUUGUUGGACUGAUAAUUUUCUGGUAUCUGGUUUCCUUGUACGCGAUCGCGAGGGAAGGGGCGCGAUCGCGAAGAGUUAUUGUUGGCAGUUGAAAUUUAAUCACCGCAUUCGAGAUUCUGGGAACACAUUCACAAAGCUUUGUGGUCAGGUCAUCGCGGACGCGAGAAGGUUUACGCGUUCGAGAAGAGGAAUGGUCAAUUAGAGCAUCAGGCUUCAAGUCUACGCUAUCGCGGUAUUUUUCACGCGUUCGCGAAGAGUUAGGUCUGGUAGGCAUCGAGUUCGCGACUGUGGCUUCACGUUCGUGUAGUGUAUUUUGGAGGGCAGAGAUUUUUGUUCUUCGCAAUCACUAGGGACUUUCCGCGACCGCGAAGAGUAAUGCUUGGGCAGCAGAUUUAAAAACCCAAAUAGAGGGUUAGAGUUAUUAUUUAAUAUUUUGAAUUAAAGAGCUCUGUUUUGGGCGAUUUUGGAGGGGAUUUUCAAGUCUUGGAUCGGGAUAAGUAUUUUUGACUUGGAUUUGUUAUUAUUUCAUGAUUCCAUCUUCGUUUUUAGCAUUUAAUUAUUGAAUUAAAGUGAAAAAAUGGGGAAUUUUUUGGAAACUUUUCAAAAAUGAAAAAUGGAGGUUUGAAGGUCGAUUUAAGGUCAGAAUUGGAUGAUUUUGGUAUGGUUGGACUCGUAAUCAAAUGGGUGUAUGGAAUUUAUGAAUUUUGUCGGGUUCCGAGGUUUGGGAUCGGAGUUGAAUUUUUGGGUUGACUUUUUGAUUUUGAUAAAGAUCGAAACAUUAUUGUUUGAAGUUGUUUCCUACGACACUUAUUAUUGAUAUUGAGUUAUUUCUGACUAGAUUCGAGUCGUUUGGAGGCCGAUACGCAUGGGAAGGGCUUGUUGGAGUUGUUAUUUGCGCGUUUUGUGGUAAGUAACACAUCUAAACUUGGAUUUGAGGGUAUUCAACCUUGAAAGUUACGUUGUAUGAAAGAUAUUGGGGUGACAUAUGCGCUAGGUGACUGGCGUGUGUGCGUUCACCGAUGUGUUCAUGGUUGUGGAGGCCUUUAGGCUAUUACCGAGCUUGUUUUGCUAUAAUAUCAUGUUACGCUCACGUUCCCUCUACUUGUUUGAUUAUUUGAAUUAUGAAUCAUGUUAGACAUCAUGUCUAGGCUAUGUGCUAACUGUUUGAGACUUGAUAGGGCUAUUCUUGUUCUUUUUGAGUUAUAUACCUUAUUUGAACAUAUUCUCUCUGUCAUGAUACUAUAUCCGUGUAUGAUAUCUCCAUCUCAACACUUUUUAUUUGAUUCCUCAUAUGUUGUUGAUACCGCAUAUGGGUAAAACUUCUAAACUGAGUAUUUGAGUUGUGUUUAUCUGUGACUUGAAUGGUAAAUGACUGAGUUUGGGCCUUAGAGCUGAUUUGGUACUGAUUUUGAGGUGACGCAUACGCCAGGCCCAUAUUGGACUGACUGUUAUUGUUUUGGGGCGCCGCGUGCACCAAGCCUCAUUAUUGGGCUAAAUGGUUAUAGUUAGUACUUUAACAGGUUGCAGUCUGACAUGCUAGCAGUGGGCGCAGAUACAAGUUUCCACAUAUGUGCUUGAUGAUGGGCACUUAUGCCAGACACCCGUACAGUGCUAAGUGUAAAUAUUCUUGAUGGAUCCACUGUGAUACUGUUGAUUGACAUGUAUACCUAACAUGUAGGCAUAAAGAUUUACUUUCCUCAUGCUACCUUAUAAUUGAUCUUCUUUAUCUGUGUUGGGCUUUAACUGUUAUACUAAAUGUUAACAAGCUAAACUUGAUAUUAGUGAGCUACUGUUUCUAUGGUUUAUCCUUUAUAUUCUGAACUGUUAUCAGUUAUUGGUAUUGGCAUUGGAUUGUUGUUCUGAGCUCGUCACUACUUUUGACCCAAGGUUAGUGUUUUGACUUAUUGAGUACAUUAGGUUAGUUGUACUCAUACUACACUCUGCACUUCUUGUGCAGAUCCAGGUACAUCCGGUCGAGGUGAUUUUCAGGCUAGAGUUGUGCCAGCUUUUGGGAGACUAUGAGGUAGCUGCCAUAUCAUUCGCCGUCCUUGAAGUUCUCUUCGUGUUAUCUUUAUCUUUACUGUUCCUAUAUUCAGAUAGUUGUAUUAGAGGAUUUUGCUUGUACCUUGUUAUUCACUAUUGCUCGUGUACUCGUUGACACUAAAUUUGGGGGUUCGUUGUAGUGGCAUUUUGAUUUUAUUCUCAGAUAUUUUAUGGUAUUCUUUAGUCUUUGAGUUAUUAGACCAUGUUAUUUCAUUUAUUGAUAUAAUAUGAGUAUUGGAUUACCAAGCGGGUUGGGUUAGGUGCCAUCACGACUUGUGGAUUUUGGGCCGUGAUAAGUUGGUAUCUGAGCACUAGGUUGCUUAGUUUUCACGAGUCAUGAGCAAGUUUAGUAGAGUCUUGUAGAUCGGUAUGGAGAUGUCUGUACUUAUCUUCGAGAGACUACCGAACUAUUAGGAAACUUCACUUUCUUGCAUUCUUAUCGUACGAAUUUGUUAAUUCCGAAGUAGAAACUUGACUCUUCUAUUCUGUCACAAAUGGUGAGGAUACGUGUUUCGGGAUCAGACGGACCCACCAGUACCACCAGCUAGGGCCACGAGAGACCGGGGCCGUGGUAGAGGCCGAGGUGCGGCUCGUACUACAGCUAGAGCAACACAUAAGGAGCCCCCGGUUGCUCCAGCUGAGGGACAAAUUCCAGAUGUUAUUGAGCCAGUGGGACCAUCUAAGGCACCAGCAGUGGCCAUUGUGAUCCCAGGCCUUCCGGAGGCCUUAGCCCAGAUUUUUACUGUGUGCACGAGCCUGGCUCAGGAAGUCUCAGUCCCAGCUGCACCAGCCACUUCACAGGCCAGGGGAGGUGCUCAGACUCCCGCCGCCCGUACUCCAGAGCAGGUAGCUCAGGGACUCGAGACACUUGGGGUACUACCAGCUAUACCUGUUAAUCGGGCCGGGCUGACCUAUUUAUAACCCGGUUCAGCCCGGGUCAGCUCGGUACUGUAGCAUUGGGGGCAUGCUGGGACGGGUUGGGCAGGGAGCGGGUUACAAUCGAAUAGUUUUUUCAUACCGGUGCACUGAAAUCCGCUAAGCCCGCUAACCCGUUAACGGGUUUUUAACGAGCUAUAACCCGGUUCAACCCGGUAUCAAGGAGAUAAUAGAAGUGCUAGAUUAAAUGCAUUUAAAAAUAAAUGUGUACACUAUGGACUAAAACCAAGACUCAUCCUUGAAGAAAUAGUUACUAGGUGGAAUUAUACUUAUUUAUUCUUAAAAUAUUGUUAUAAAUAUAGAAUGCCUAUAACUGAAGUUGCUAAAUCUCAUUGUACCGAUCCUAGCUGUUUGUUAACAUCUAGAACUUGGGAUGUCAUUGAAGAUGUUGUAAAAGUNNNNNNNNNNNNNNNNNNNNNNNNNNNNNNNNNNNNNNNNNNNNNNNNNNNNNNNNNNNNNNNNNNNNNNNNNNNNNNNNNNNNNNNNNNNNNNNNNNNNNNNNNNNNNNNNNNNNNNNNNNNNNNNNNNNNNNNNNNNNNNNNNNCUUUAAACUUCAAAGUUUAAUUCUAAGCCUUAAAAAUUUGCAAACACUUAAGUAUUAAUAACAUUGAAUAAGAAAAACAAAAUUUACUUUAAAAAAAAAAAAUAGCCCGGCCCAGUCCAACCCGCUAAGCCGGAACCCGGACGGACCAAAAAAAACCCAAAAAAGUACAACCCGCUAAUUCAGCCCACUAACAGCCCGAAACGUUAAACGGACGGGCUGGUUUUUUUGUGUACAGCCCGUCCCAGCUCGCCCGUUAAACACCUCUACUACCAGCCCAGUGGGUUACUGCUACGGUUCGGGCCGAGGUUAGACCACCUAUGAGUGAUGAGGAGCAUAAGAGAUUGGAGCAGUUCGGGAGGCUUAAGCCUCCAGAGUUCAGCGGGGAGGAGUCAAAGAAUGCUCAGGAUUUCCUAGACCGGUGUCAACGGAUUCUUCACACAUUAGGUAUAUUGGAGACCAGUGGAGUUGCAUUUACAACCUUUCAACUGACUAGGGCAGCCUAUAAAUAGUGGCAGGCCUAUGAGUUGAGCAGGCCAGUUGGUGCAGCGCCACUUUCGUGGCAUGAGUUCUCUAUUCUCGUUUUAGAGAAGUUUGUUCCACAGACUCGUAGGGAGGAGCUAUGUAGAGAUUUUGAAUAGCUACGCCAGGGAGAUAUGACUUUGAACCCGUAUAAGAUGAGAUUCACAUAUUUGUCCCAUCAUGCUAUGUGGUUGGUUCCAUAGAGAGAGAGAGAGAGAGAGAGAGAGAGAGAGAGAGAGAGAGAGAGAGAGAGAGAGUAGCAUUGAUGGCCUCAACUAUAGCCUACGUUACAGUUUGGCCCGAGAGUCCAAGACAGAUGCUAGGUUUGACCAGGUGGUUGAGAUUUCUUGGCGCUUGGAGUCAGUUCACAGUCUUGAGCAUGAGGAGCGGGAGGGAAAGAGGCCCUGUGGAUUUGACGGUUUCAGUGAUACCUCAUCUGGAGGUCAGUCACAUCACAUCAGAGGUCAUCCUUCAGGCCCGCUUAGAUGGCUCGUCCGACUCAUCGGGGUGUAUCAACUGUCAUAAUUCAUACAGUACUCGCAUAGGGCAGUCAUCAUUCAGUGCACUACCAUCUCAGAGCUCAUAUCGUGCUCCAUCAGUUCAGGGUUCAUCAACACCAAGUUCUUCUAGUGGCUAUUCUAGUUCCCGGGUCCGAUGCAGGCCCUGCCAUUAUUCCCGGCUCGAGUUUGUUAUGAUUGUGGAGAGUUGGGGCAUGUGAGGAAGUAUUAUCCCCGUCACUAUAGAGGUCUAGUGAAGCAGAGAGGCCAGUUUAUGACCUCUGCACAACUUACUACACCACCCGCUCAGCCAGCUCGGGGCGGAGGUUGUACGGGUUGAGGUCACCCCGGAGGGGAUGGUCAGAUAGGUGGUGGUCAAGCUCGAUGCUAUACUUUUCCUACUAGGCCAGAGGCAUUUACUUCAGAAGCGGUGAUCACAUGUAUUAUUUCAGUGUGCCACAGGGGUGCUUCCAUAUUAUUUGACCCUGGUUCCACUUAAUCAUAUGUAUCAUCGUACUUUGCUCAUUAUUUGGAUAUGUACCGUGAUUCCUUGGUUACGCCUAUUGAUGUAUUCAUAUUGGAGGGUCAUUAUAUUAUUGUGGACCUUGUAUAUUCUUCGUCUGUGGUGAUUAUUGGGGGAUUAGACAUGAGAGUUGAUCUUUUACUACUUAGCAUGGUUGAUUUUGACGUGAUUUUAAGCAUGGAUUGGUUGUCACUAUUUCACACAAUUCUGGAUUGUCACGUUAAGACCAUGGCAUUGACAAUGCCGGGAUUGUCUAGGGUUAAGUGGAGAGGUUCUCUGGACUAUGUUCGCAGUAGGGUGAUUUCAUAUUUGAAGACCCAACGGAUAGUUGGGAAGGGAUGUUUGGCAUAUUUGGCCUUUGUGAGGGAUGCUAGUGCUGAUACUCCUACCAUUGAGUCCGUUCCGAUAGUGAGAGACUUUUCAGAUAUGUUUCCUACAGACCUGCUGGGCAUGACACCCGACAGGGACAUUAACGUUGGCAUUGACUUAGUGCCGGGCACUCAGCCCUUCUCUAUUCCUCCGUAUCAUAUGGCAACUAUAAAGGUGAAAGAAUUGAAAGAACAACUUCAGUAGCUACUUGAUAAGAGAUUCAUUAGGCCUAGUGUGUCACCUUGGGGUUCACCGAUUCUGUUUGUAAAGAAGAAGGAUGGUACUAUGUAGAUGUGCAUUGAUUACAAGAAGUUGAACAAAUUUACAAUUAAGAACAAGUACCCACUACCGCGCAUUAUUGACUUAUUUGACUAGAUUCAGGGAGCUAGAGUGUUCUCUAAGAUUGAUUUGAGGUCUGGGUAUCACCAAUUAAAUAUUCGGGAUUGUGAUAUCCUGAUGACGACAUUCAGGACCCGCUAUGGCCACUACGAGUUCCUUGUGAUGUCUUUUGGGCAGACCAAUGUCCCAUCAAUAUUUAUGCAUCUGAUGAACAGUGUAUUGCAGCAAUAUCUUGAUUCUUUUGUCAUAGUAUUCAUUGACGAUAUAUUGGUGUACUCAUACAGCCAGGCGGAUCAUAAGAAGCAUCUGAGGAUUGUACUCCAGACGUGGAGGGAGAAGAAUCUAUAUGCUAAAUUCUCCAAGUGUAAGUUUUGGCUUGACGUUCUUGGGGUGGUGUCCUGUGAGGGGAUAAAGGUUGAUCCGAUGAAUAUUGAAGCAGCUCAUAGUCAUCCUAGACCGUUUUCAGCUACUGAGAUUUGGAGGUUUCUUGGUUUGGCCGGGUAUUAUCGCCAUUUUGUGGAGGGUUUCUCGUCCAUUGCUGCACCUUUGGCUAGAUUGACCCAGAAGUGUGCCCCAUUCAGGUGAGCUUUCAGAAUCUGAAUACUGCCUUGACCACAACUCCAGUUCUAGUUUUGCCUUCAGCAUCGGGUUCAUAUACCGUCUAUUGUGAUGCUUCUUAGAUUGGUAUUGGGUGUGUCUUGAUGUAGGAGGGUAGGGUGAUUGCUUAUGCUUCACGUAAGUUGAAGCCACAUGAGAAGAACUACCCCUUUCAUGAUCUUGAGUUGGCAGCUAUUAUCCAUACAUUAAAGAUUUAGAGGCACUAUCUCUACGACGUGUCGUGUGAGGUAUUUACAGAUCAUUGGAGUCUACAACACUUGUUUAAACAGAAGGAUAUAAAUUUGAGGAAGCGGAGGUGGUUAGAGCUCUUAAAACACUAUGAUAUCACCAUUUUGUAUCAUCCCGGGAAGGCCAAUAUGGUGGCCGAUGCCUUGGGUAGAAAGUGUAAGGUCCCGUAAAACUUUACUUAAAAACCCGGGGUUUCGUGAUGCUAAGAUAGACUUAUGUGUCGAUGAUUGUAGAGAUUCUUGGGCUUAGCUUGAUAUUACAAGAAGUUUGUGGAGGGGUUCUCUACCCUUGCCUCUCCGUUGACUAAAUUAACAUAGAAGGCAGUUAAGUUCCAAUAGUCAGAUGCUUGUGAAAGGAGCUUUCAGGAGUUGAAAUAUAGAUUGACUACAACACCAGUGUUGACUCUACCAGACAAUACAAAUGGGUUUGUGAAAUAUUGCAAUGCUUCAAGAAUCUGACUUGGGUGUGUAUUAAUGCAACAUGUCAAGAUGAUAACUUAUGCUUCUAGGCAACUCAAGAAUCAUGAAAAGAACUAUCCAACACAUGACUUAGAGUUUGCAGCGGUGGUCUUUGUGUUGAAGAUUUGGCGUAAUUAUUUCUAUAGGGUCCAUGUGCAUAUUUUCACGGACCAUAAGAGCCUUUAAUAUAUUUUCAAACAUAAGGAAUUGAAUCUGAGGCAAAGAAGAUGGAUUCAGUUACUCAAGAAUUAUGACAUCGAUAUCCUAUAUCAUUCGAGGAAGGCUAAUGUUAUGGAGGAUGCUCUUAGCCGGAAAUCUAUGGGUAGUUUGGCUCACUUGGAGGCAUAUCAAAGGCCGUUGGCCAAGGAGGUUUAUCGGUUGACUAGUUUGGGAGUUCAUCUUGCGGACUUUAGUGAAGGAUGGGUGAUUGUGCAAAAUAGGGCUGAGUCGUCGCUUGUGGUGGAAGUCAAGGAGAAGAAGUACAACGAUCCAUUGUUGGUACAAUUGAAGGAGGGGAUUCAUAAACAUAACACCAUGGCCUUUUCUCUUGGCGUGGAUGAUGGUACACUAAGGUACCAAGGGCGACUAUGUGUUCCAAAUGUAGAUGGUCUUCGCGAAAGAAUCAUGACCGAGGCUCACACUUCUAGGUAUUCCGUACACCCGGGUUCUACAAAGAUGUAUCAUGAUCUUAGGGAAGUCUACUGGUGCAAUGAUAUGAAGAGGAAUGUAGUAGACUUUGUGGUAAAAUGUCCAAAUUGUCAGCAAGUGAAGGCCGAGCACCAAAGGCCCAGUGGGUUGGCACAUAACAUAGAAAUUCCAAUGUGGAAGUGGGAGAGGAUCAAUAUGGACUUUGUGGUGGGACUACCAUGCACGCCUCACAAGUUUGACUCUAUUUGGGUAAUUAUGGAUCGACUCACAAAAUCAGCACACUUCUUACCUGUUAAGGCUACCGACACAGCAGAACAGUAUGCUCAGUUGUAUAUAAAGGAAAUAGUCAAGUUGCAUGGCACUCUAGUUUCUAUUAUCUCAGAUUGAGGGGAACAAUUCACAGCUAAUUUUUGGAAGAUAGUUCAGCAAGGUUUGGGCACCCAGGUGAAUCUUAGUAUAGCUUUUCACCCGCAGACUGAUGGGCAAGCAGAGCGAACUAUUCAGACACUUGAGGAUAUGUUGCACGCUUGUGUUCUUGACUUCAAGGGUAGUUGGGAUGAUCAUUUGCUGCUGAUAGAGUUUGCCUACAACAACAUUUAUCAUGCUAGCAUUCAGAUGGCACCGUUUGAGGCUUUAUAUGGUAGGAGAUGUAGAUCUCCCAUUGGGUGGUUUGAGAUUAGGGAAGCAGAUUUGAUAGGGCCAUACCUCGUGCAUCAGGCUAUAGAAAAGGUUAAGAUCAUUAAGGAGCAGUUGAAAACUACUUAGAGUUGUCAGAAGUCCUAAUCAGAUGUUUGUCAUAGGGAUUUGGAGUUCAAAUAAGAUGAUUGGGUAUUUUUGAAGGUUUCCCCUAUGAAGGGUAUAAUGGGGUUCGGUAAGAAAGGAAAAUUGAGUUCGAGGUAUCUCGGACCGUGUAGAAUCAUUAAGAGGAUUGGUCAGGUGGUUUAAAGGAUAUAACUACCUCCAGAAAAAUCUUUAGUGCACCUGGUGUUUCAUUUAUCCAUGUUGAAUAAGGUGGUUGGAGAUCCGUCGCUUAUUGUUCCAGUUGAGACUAUUGAGGUUAAUGAAGAAUUGACCUAUGAAGUAAUUCUAGUUGCCAUUCUUGAUAGGCAAGUUUGAAAGUUGAGGAACACAGAGAUUGCCUCCAUAAAAGUACUAUGGAGGAACCAACAGGUUGAAGAGGCCACCUGGGAGGCCGAGGAAGAAAUGAAGAAGAAAUACCCUCAUUUGGUUUCUAAUGACGGAUUUUGGCACACAUUCGAGGACGAAGGAUCUUAAGCGGGGGAGGAUGUAAGGUCCCGUAAAAUUAUACUUAAAAACCAGGGGUUUCGUGAUGCCAAGAUAGACUUAUGUGUCGAUGAUUGUAGAGAUUCUUCGUGGCUCGCAAGCUCGCCGCUGUAUGAACCUUUUGGAUUAAACAACGCCUUAGGGAGUUGAAAUUUCCUUUUGGCAGAGUGAGGCAUUUUUACGAUUAGUUCUGCGGUCGCAGAACUGAUCUAUGGACCACAGAUCUGUCGCAGCGUGAAGCAGGGAACUGGGCAAAUUUGGGAUGAUAUUUUGCGGUCAAUUAUGCGGCCGCAUAAUCAUUUCGCGGGCCGCACAAUCCAUCGCAGAUCCAACACAAAACUUUUCAGAGGAAAUUUCUGCGGUGCAUUAUGUGACCACAGAAUAGGUCUGCGGACUGCAGACCGGUUGCACAGUGAGGCAGGAGUGCCUAAUUCCGGAGGGCCAUUAUGCGGUCCAUUUUCGGACUGCAGAAGUGUUAUGCGGUCGCAUAUGCGGCCGCAGAUCUGCAUCGGGGCUUCAUUUUUCUGGUUUUAUAAAACCGACCCCAUUCUUAUAAAACAAUCUUAGGAAUUAUUUUAAAAGGUUCAAACUUAUAUUUUAGAGAGAGGAAGGUGGUCUAGAGUGAGAAAAGGAAUUUUUAAGUCAUUUGUUCAUCAAUCUUUGCUCAAGCCUUGAAGAUUUCAAAAGGGUAACUCACAAGGUCUUCAUCCUAGAGGUAAGAUUCUACUCCCUAGCCCUCAAUUUCGUGAUUUUACUGAAAAUAGGUAAUGAGAAAAGCAAAUCUUAGGUGUGGGAGUUGUCCAUUAUGCAUGUAUGUACUAUCAAGGGUUAAGGAAAAAUAUUGAGCUAAAUUGGGUAGACUUUGGGUAGUGGGAUGGAGGAAUCCACCAUAGGAGGACCUUGAAAUCAUAAUACCCACCUAGUGUUUGAUAAAGUGCUCAAAUGAUCUGGAACCAUAAAAUCUGUCCUAAUUUAUGUUUAAUUUUGCUAUAUUUCUAAAUGGAUCGAAGUGGCUAAGAAUUUCGAAACAUUGUAGUAAUUUAAAAGGCUCGAGGCGGGGUAUGUUGGCUAAACUCAUCUCUUAGAAUUGAACCCCACAAUAUCCUUGUAAGUCCCGAGUUGUUCAUUAUGAAUUGAUUAUUCUGAAUAAGCCUUGUGUCGAAAGAUAUAUGUUCAAUAUGUAUUCCAAUGUUCCUGUUAUGUUAUAUUCUAUUUGAAAAUGUGCUCAAAACAUGGAUUGCAUAUUCAAAUGCUAUAUCUUUAAGUUGUGAUUCAAAUGAAGGCUAUUAUGUCAAAUUGUGUAAGAAAUCUCAAUGUGUUUAACAUUCUUAUUUGCUCAAUAUGUGGACUUAAAGUUUUGAAUAGAAAUGCUCUGUUGUUGAUGAUAUAAAUGUAUCUUCUCUUUGUUCAUGGGAGAGUGGGAUAGAAGGUAUUGUUAAGUCUUGCUUGACUGGGGUAUCUCGGUUGAGCGCCGGUCGUGCUCCCCAAGGUCGGGACGUGACAAACUUUGUAUCAGAGCCUAAGAUUUUAAAGUGUCCUAGGAUGUCUUGGAGCCGUGUUUAGUAGAGUCCUUCUUAUUGGUGUGUUGUCGACCACAUCUAUAAUUAGGAGGCUACUUAGGCAUUUAGGAAUAAUACCCUUCUUUAAUGUUCUAGAUCGUGCGAUAAAGCUGAUUGUAAGAUUGUUCCUCCUUUAACUCGUGCAUUGCUCUAAUUUUAAGUAUAUGGCGCCUAAGAAUAAAGCAAGAAUUGGCCAAGGAGCCAAUGCCACCCAAGAAGUGGCAGUUGAUCCUUUACUUGAUGAUGCGGGUGAGCACCCGAGGGGUGAGAAUAUUCCCCCGACUACUACACUUCCUGAUUCUACUACACCUGAUCAGACUCCGCCAGUUUCUGCACAUACUGAGGGUGCAACGAUCCCUCCAACUGAUAUUCCAGUUCCACCUCCAACACCCAGCUUACGAUCCUGAUGUUUCUGAGGGGGAUCUUAGGGGAGCCAUACAGAUGUUGGCUCAGAUAGUGACUUCUCAGGCCUAGAGAUAAAAUGUUGAGCCUACUUCUUCCAGUCAUCCAGGGGAAUCUGCUAGUUCCAGGGUGAACAAGUUUCUUCAGUUAGAUCCUCCAGUGUUCACGGGUACUAAUCCCGAGGAGGACCCCCAAGACUUUAUUGAUGAGAUGCACAAGACUCUUUGAGUUAUGCGUGCUACUAAGAUAGAAGCAGUGGAGUUAGCUUCCUAUCACCUGAAAGAGGUGGCAUAUUCUUGGUUUGAAUUGUGGGAGGAGUCCCGUGAGGAGGGCAGCUCUUCGGCGAGGUGGAAUGAGUUCACCGAUGCUUUCAUUGAUCAUUUCUUGCCUGCCGAGACUAAGGCAGCCCAUGCUGUUGAGUUUGAAAGCUUAAGGCAAGGUAGCCUGAUUGUGUGGGAGUACCAUAUGAGAUUCGCGCGCCUGUCCAAGUAUGCUGUAUACAUGCUGCCCACUAUGGAGGCGAGAGUGCACCGGUUUGUUCAGGGCCUUAGACCCUUGGUUAUUAAUGAGGCCGCUAUAGCUGCCUUGAAUUCUGAUAUGAACUAUGGGAAGAUUAUGGCAUUUGCUCAAGCUACAGAGAGCCGUAAAUUGAAGAACAGGAUGGAGCGAGAGAGUAGCACCAAGGACCGAUCCGCGGGCAAUCUUGGAGGUUCUUUGGGUGGCGGUGAUGGUAGGCCAACAUUCAGGGGAGGGUCAUUAGGGCCAUCCAGUCUUUUGCUCAGUCUUCAGUCAGUGCACCGCUGUCAAGGCCUAGUCAGUAGCAACAGAGUCAUUUUAGGCCCAAUCAGGGCAACAUGGGAUCCUACUAGAAGGGUCGGCCUGGUGGGAGAUUUCAGCGCGACCGGUGCUCAAUUGAGAUAACCCGGUUGAGCAAGCCUACUUGAUGCCUUCUAUCCAAUCUUACCCAUGAACAAUAUAAAAUCAAUAUCAAGAGAUAUACAUGAGGAGAGUGUAAUGUUUCUCAUUCUUUUCCCAUUUCUCAAAAGAAAUUCAUUUACGAUUUUCAAAAUAUUACAAGUUUAUAGAUAAAAUGAAAAACAUAUUUUCCAAAUACCAACACUUCUAGAUAAAUUCCCAACAUCAAACACCACCCACAACCUGUCUACGGAGCCUCUAAGUAAGACAAAAGAGUAGUUAGGAAGUGCCAAAAAUAAGGCCCCGACUAUACCUCAAAACACAAUGUACAACAUCAAAUGACAUCAGGCCCGGAAUAGAGUAGGGAUCACCAAAACCUGGUGAAAAGGGAGUAGCUGCAAACGAGGACCAAAGCUACCCGUUGAUGAACCACCUACAUCCAUUGAAGAUGUAGCACCCCUGACAAAAUGGACGUUAGUACAUAUGGAAUAGUACUAGUAUGUAAAGCUAACUGUCCUGUUUCAAAAUAGAAUGCCAAUGUAAGAGAGGUAAAAUCUUGGAAACAACAAUCAACAAUCAAUGAUAUCCAAAUUCCAAGUUAAAACAUAAUAAUUUCCAAAAUACAAAGAUAAUAUUAUUUUUGGUUGGGAGAUCCCUUGUAACAACCUAUACACAAAGCAGCCCCGCCGCCUUACCCCAUUGUUUGCGGGUGGGGGUGUAAUUUCAAUACCACAUUCUUUACACAAAGCAACCCUGCCGCCUCACCCCAAUGUGUGCGAGUGGAGGUGUAAUUUCAAUACCACAUUCUCUACACAAAGAGGCCCUGCUGCCUCACCCCAAUGUGUGCGGGUGGAGGUGUAUUCACAAUCACAAUCCUUACACAAAGCAUCCCUACCGCCUCACCCCAAUGUAUGCGGGUGGAGGUGUAUUCACAAUCACAAUCCCUACACAAAGCGGCCAUGCUGCCUCACCCCAAUGUAUGCGGGUGGAGGUGUAUUCACAAUCAAUAUCUCUACACAAAGCGGCCCUGCCGCCUCAUCCCAAUGUAUGCGGGUGGAGGUGUAUUCACAAUCACAAUCUCUACACAAAGCGGCCCUGCCGCCUUACCCUCCAAUGUAUGUGGGUGGACAUCACAUUCCGCUAGCAAUCAUCUCAUCCCAAAUAAGGGGAAUAAUCUCAUCACAUCAAUCUCAUCCCAAAUAAGAGGAAUAAUCACAAUGCACUCCUACACCGGUACGUGUAGUUUCAGGGUUAGGUUAUUUCAACCUACCCUUCCUCAGUGACUAUCAAUACUCCCAAAAACAUUUUUUAUUUUCAUACAAGGGAAACAGAAAUACAAUUGCAUUUACCUCAUAACUUUCACACCAUUUAUAGCCUCAUUGGUACUUUCAACUACUUACAACCUCAUUAUUUCAUUGGCUCUCUUGGCCAUACAUAUGAUUCUUCAUUCAUGGAACAAUGGCCGUAUUUCAUAUUCCACAGUUUUAUUUCUUUCCUUUCAUGGAUCAUCAUCAUAAAUAUGAACAAAUAGAAUAUUUCGAAAAUCACAACUUUAGGUUCAUUAGUAAUGAAGACUUUAAACACAAUGGAUUUCUUUCCAAGAUAUGGAGUGAAAUGAUUGGCAAUCGAAGCAUAAGUUAAAAUCAUAAACGAGUAACACAUCAUUUAUUUUUGAAAUACUUUUCCCGAAAAGGGCAAUACACAAUUUCAACUCAUGAAUAUAUAUGAGCUCAAAACACAUUGGAAACACUUACAAAGCAUAGCAUUAGUUGAAACAACCACAUUUGGGCAUGACUUGAGUACAUAAGCUUUUAGGUAAAUCUAUUUUCGAAGUCAAUUUGGAACAUUGAAUCAAGGCUCAUUUCAUAACCUUUCUCACAUCAUUUCAUUUCCUUGGCACUAUUGGCCACAAGUAUAACUUUCAUUCUUGGCACGGUGGCCAUGCUUUACAUCCCCAACCCACUUCUUUCACUUUCAAGUAUCCUUAUAUAUUAUCAGCAACAAGGCAUUUAAAAUCAAGACUUUAGGUACACAUAUGAGCAAUAGGAGUUUUAGACGCAUGGAGUAUUCUUUCCAAGUUAAGCAUAAUGGACUCUCAUUUGAAACACAACUCAAAGCCAUGACAUUUUAAUACACAUAUCAUUCUUGAACACAUUCCCGAAGGAUAACAUAAUGUGAUAGGAACAUUCAGAACACAUCUUGAAUACAUAAAUCUUAACACCUUGCUUACUCGGGACAAUUGAAUUUCUUGGGAAUAACUCAGAACAUAGGAAUAAGGAACUUGAGCCAACCAUACUUGAAACUUACGGGAACAUCAUGGAAUUCAAUUCUAAGAGAGUAGUUUAGCCAACAUACCUGAAAGUUUUCCCUUAAUAAUACUACAAUGGUCCACUACACUAAAAACUUCAAUCUAUAAUAACAACAUUCAAUGGGACCAAUAUUAGUAGCAAAUUUCAUAAUUUAGGCCACUUAGACACUUUAUCAAACACUUAGUAGGCAUAAAUCUCUACAUCUCUUAACCAUAGAAUUAGUUCAUCCAACUACCACCAUUUACCAACAAUUUAUCCCACCAUCAUUCUUAAACAAUUUAUAACUUCCAACAUCACAUCAUGACCAUCCAUCCACACCCAACCAACAAAAUUCCAUAAAAUAAUCACCUUUCAAUCUCUACAGUGGCUUAGUUUUUUAAAUUGGGAAAUUAUGGCUUCCAAUCACUAUCCCAUAAGUUCCAAUACUUUAUUAUUACUCAUAUUCCCAUAACAAACCCAUGCAUAUAAGUCUAAGGGUGUAGGAUUUCCUUUUGGAAGAAAUUUAGCGAAACCCUCCUUUGAGUUCUUGGAGGAAUUUCAUGAAAAUCUAAGGAUUUCAUAGUGGAUUGAGUUAGUUCUAGUGUGGAAAUGAUGGGAUUCACACCAAGAUAAAGGGGUAUUUCUUACCUUGAAGAUGGGAAGAUUUAGAGGUCUUGAGAGAGUGGAGGAAAGCUCCAAAAUUCAUCCAAAUAAAAUGGAGAAAAUGAGCCGACGAAAUGACUUUAAAGAACCUAAAGCUGGGGCACGCCCAGUCUGGCGAAGUGAGCCUCACUUCGCUGUCCACAUCAUAUAACGGAAGACAGGAUCCGCGCCCGGUCUGGCGAAGCGAGCCUUGCUACGCUGUCUGCCAAAUAACUGGGUGAUCUAACUUUGGUAAUUUGAUCAUAAUUGUUAGUAGGAAUGUCCAAAUGACGAACGACUUGAUGCGUUAGAAACUAAACUCAAAGGGCUAUACUCCAAGUCAAAAUUCAUUGGAAAUAUAUUUUUAUUACGAGAUUUAUACCCAUUCAAAGUGAAGUGUUGUGCAAAUUUGGACAUCUAUUCCACUUAACAUUUCCAACUCGUUCCAAACAAUUUCUUCCCACUUACAAACCUCCUUAAUAUGUUCCAAAACACUCUCCAUAUGUAUUUUCAAGUCAAAAUAAUAUAGUUCUAUCCCAUAGAUCUCUUUUAAUACUCGAAUACGUUAUUCACAAAUACCGUUGGCGCACUUUAAAUUUUUUAAAUCAUUAGAAAAUUUUAAUGGGGCCUUACAUUCUCCCCCACUUAGGAUCAUUCAUCCUCAAAUAAGGGUUAGAGUCCGCCAGAGACACCUAAUGUGACUUAAAUCUUUAUCCACACACCAAAAGCUCCAAAAUUUGGCUAACUCCCCAAAUUUCCAGAAAUUUUGACAGAGUUUCUCCUGUAUUUGGGCCUAUCCAGCUAUCAGAGAGUCCCAAAAACCACUCUUAACAACACAUCCACAACUCAACAAAGCAUCACAAUAUAUUUCAAUAACACCAAUCUCAACAUUAAAAGCAUUGUAUUAACAGAAGUGGUAUUUUGACAUGAAUUAUAUAUAUUUAAAUUAUAACACAUAGAAAGUACCCAUCGAACCGCAACUAUUUGGCUAUACAAAUAAGUGGGAAUAUUUUCUUUCCACAACAUCCUCGGCCUUUGAGGUAACCUCCUCGACUCACAGACUUCGCUGUAGCACUUUAAUGAAGGAAAUCCCAACUUCCAGACUUAUCUAACAAGGAUGAAAAUUAGAUACCCCCUCAUAAGCCAAUUACCCAUUAACUUCACCUUCCAUAGUUUCCACCGGAGCGACUGACAAAGGAUUUCCAACUACCUUCUUAGACAUAGAUACUUGAAACACCGGGUACAUGGAGGACAAUAAUGGGGAAACAUCAUACUCUUAGUUUGAUCUAUUUCCUUCAAGAUCCCAUAAGGCCUAAUGUGACUACACAUACUUUAAUCUCCUUCACAAUUCACCUAAUAUCUUCAUGGAGAAAAUCUAGAGAAUAUCCCGUUUACUUCCUUCAACUCUAAAUCUCUACGUCGAACACCCAAACUAAACCUUUGGUGACCUUCAACAAGUAUUCUAAGAUGUGCUAGCCUGAAUAUGAUCAAAAGUUUCCUACCCAAUAUGUUUGAUCAUGGGAUGAUGCUUAUUCUUUGACAUGUUUCCAAUCAUAAUAACUCUCAAACUGCAAUACCAGGCCACAUCAUGGGCAAUUAUAAUACUAGAAACAAAGUGGGUUACUCAUUGAGGCAUGAUAUUGGUGGACAUGAAAGUUAUACUGCAUUGGACGAACAAAAGAUCUUGGGACAAAUUCGUGGAAACCUUAAAUUUCCUAGAAAUUUUAUGCAGACAAGUGACCAUUUCAAUUGAUAUGUUCACAUAUGAUAGGUGCUGAGAUAUGCUCUCAUGUUACUAGAUAGUGAAAAGGUUUCAUGAUAAUAUUCACAAAGGAGUAAAGUAACUGUUCCAACCAUAUGAGCCACAUACACCGGUGAGGGAAAGAGUGGCUCAAGAAGGAUCUCAACACUAGGCUGCUUUAAAUUAGAUUUCAUACCACAUAGGUAAAUAUUAUGAUGGUGCGUGCAUAGGCACAAGUGAAAAAAUGUUAUCCAUUCGAAUCAAAAGGUUCUGUAAGCAAUUCAUCAUGUAUAAUCCCUUAUUGAGAAUUUAGGGAAGCAAGUGGGAAGUAUUAGCCUAGGGUUAUAACUCAAUUAAAGGAAAUACUUAUAGAGCUCAAUUCUACAGGAUGUUGUAAAUAAAAGAAUUUGUGAUAGAGUGGCUUUACGAAUAAUGCGUCUCGUUCAGAAAGUAAGUACAUGCAAUAUUUUGUGAUUCAGCGUCUUGUUAAGACCAUAUUUAUGUAGGCCCCUUCAAUAUGGAUGCACAUAUACAACAAGGAAAAUAAUGCGGUGUUCAUAAUGAUAUACUAAGGAAUGACUCACUUGGUGAUUUUAGAUUGACAAGGCAGUACCUUAAUUGAUGCCCCUCGACUCAACAUCCAUAACAUACAUUGGUACCAUAGUGACAUACCCCCGAAUGAUAUCUCCUACACUUUUCACAACGAGGAUACCUGAUAUUUACCCUUUUUGAAUACAUAAAAAACAUUCCCCCUAUCCAUCUUCCAAGACUUCAUGGCGGGAGAAACAAUCUCUAUAUCGGCUUGCUGUGUGGGCCUUUGGAAUUUUCCAAGCCGGCCACCCCUAACACACUCCUGAGCAUACUCACAACACGACGCAAAAUGUUCCUGCCCGCAUAUCGGGCAGACUGGCUAGGUGUACCCAACCUAGGGCAUUUUUUCUUAUGCUCCCUCUUUCCAUAACCAUAACAUAUUUCAAGAGUCAUCAAACACAUCCCUAAGUGGCGCUUCAUACAAAUUAAACAUUCUGGCUUAUUGGUACAAACAACCCUCUUUCGUUUCUUAGGUGCUCUCACCACAUGAUCUGGUGGCGUGGUGAUAUUAAUAGGAACAAGGAAACUUACCCUAGCAACUGGUUCUUUCAUUCCCUCCUCGCUGCCUCGAACCGUGGGUUACUCAUCUAGACAAUGAGAUAUGACGAGGAAAGUAGCUCCCUCUCUUGAGUUCUAUCGCCCGAUCCGGAGUAUCAAAGAAGGGUGACGUUCCUUGUUACAUCCCGCAUUUCAUACGUUAAAGUUUCGUCAUAAGUUAAUCGACAUAGACUCGGGAAUGAGAUUAUUUUGAGAUCAUAAACAUUUAUGCUAUUUGUAACAAAUGAUAAGUAAGUUAGAGGAUUAACAAAUCAAAGAAAUUGAGUAUCACCGAAGUUUGUUAAUUUGGAAUAAAAUACGGUCCGAGCUAUAAUACACGAUAUUUAUGGACUAAUACCAUACAAGGUACCAUAUGACCGUGAUAAUACGAUGUAUAAAGUGUAUUAAGAUAAGUAGAAUUUUAAGUAAUUUGAGAUAAUUCUUAAUUAUGUGGGUAAUUGGUUAAUUAUCGGGUAACGAGAUAUUACCUAAUUAAUUAAUUAGUUAUAAGAUAAGGUUAAACCCCCACCCCCACGUGGCAGCAAGCCACAACUAAGACAUAUGACUCUUAGUCAUAUUGGCUUAGGUGUCUAUCUAAAGUAAUAAGACAUUAACGUGGAAGACAUUCAAGUUUGGUUUCAUUUAUAAAAGUUUGGUUUCAUUUGGACAUAGAAUAAUAAAGUGAGGAAUCAUAUACCUUUCUUCCUAAUUCAAAGCAAUUCAAAAACAAUCACUAAAACUCAAUCCAACAAGCUUCCAACAAAAUUUCUUGCGACCUAAUUAAUUCCAACGAGAAUUAUUAGCACCUUAGCAACGUAAAAUUUUGCGGUUCCAAAGGAGUACGGUGCAACCUUUUCCAAUAAUAUCAUACGGAUUUUCCCUACUCCAGGUAUGUUAAGGCUAAUCCUUCUUUUUUUUUUUGGCGUGAUCCAAGUAACGAUACGUAAACGUAAUGCUAUUCCAUAAGUGGUUCUACUCUUAGCAGUUAAGGAUGUCUAUGUUAUUCAUUCAUGUAAAAUGAUAUUCAAGCAUGUCUAAGUAUGUAUCUAGUUCCCUAUUGAGGUGUUUAAUAAAAACGUUAAUAUCAUAAUGGUAUUAUAUGUAUUAUACAUCUACCACCGAGCUACAGCUGGUCGGUAGUUACCACCGGUUGGGCAGUUAUGUAUUAUUAUUAUUUACCACCGAUUGAGCAGUUAUGCAUUUACCACCAAGCUAUGACCGGUCGGGCAGUUACCAUUGACCUAUUAGGCAGUUAACAUCAUGAAAAUAAGGUAACUAGAACUAUUAUAUUGUAGUUUUAUUUAUAUAUACGAGAUGGGUUUUAUUCUAUAUGUUACGGCCCUCAUCGGCAAGUCAGAAGUUAUAAGUUGACCCUUAUCUCUCCCCGAGAUAAUAUCUUAUUAUUAUUACGUUUCAUUGCUGCCUUACAUAUUCGGUACAUUCUUCGUACUGACGCCCCUUUUUCUGGGGCACUGUGUUUCAUGCCACGCAGGUGUAGAUAGGCGAGGUGAGGACCAUCCACUGUAGGCUGCCUCCAGAUAUCAGCUUUUGGUUGGUGAGCUCCACAUCUUCCUAGAGUAUUGCCGAGUCACGUUCUAUAUAUGUUACUUUGUUUUAGGAGGAUGUCGGGGACCCUGUCCCGACUUAUAUGUUAUGGUCAUGAUUUCUUAGAGGUUUUGCAGACAUUGUCCUGUGUAUAUCUUUAGGUAUGACAUGUUAACGGCCUUGUCGGCCCCUAUGUAUCUAUAUAAAUAUUUUUAAAUUAGUUAUGUGAGUAAGUUCAAAUAUUAUUAAUUAUAUNNNNNNNNNNNNNNNNNNNNNNNAUUUGGGUCAUGACAAAGUGGUAUCAGAGUAGUUCUGUCCUAGGGUUGUCUGCAAGCCGUGUCUAGUAUAGUCUUGUUUAUAAAUGUGUUGUGCACCACGUUGUAUAAACAAGAAACUACAGGGCAUUUAGGGACCGAUUACUCUUCCUUCUUGAUAUUAGAUCGUGCAAUAGAGCAGAGUCAUAGGGAAUAAAGGCCUUGACCUUUGACUUAUUUUAUAUAUGCAGCAAUGCCAAUGACCAGGAAAGCUACGGCUAGUCAGAAGGGUAAAGUAGUGGCAGAUGAGGGCAUGCGUAGAGUACCAAUGUCUAGUGAGGGCUAGAGUGAGGCCCCGAGGGGUAAUACAACACCCUCGCAUAGUUCUCUGAUUUUGCCAGUACCUCCACCUAUUAUUCAGGAUGAGGAUAUGGUUAUACGGAGUGCAAUACGAUUGUUGACUAGAUUGGUAGCCGCUCAGGAUCAGCGCCAGGUAGGUACAGGUGUUGGUCACGUUAACAGGGUUAUUAGCGUGAGAGUUUGAGACUUUAUCAACCUGGACCCUCCAGUGUUUACCGAAUCCAACAAGGAUGAGGACUCGCAAAACUUUAUUGAUAGGAUGCAAAGGAUUUUGAGGGUGAUGCAUGCAUCAGACACUGAGUCAGUAAAGUUGGCCUCUUACCGAUUGUGGGAUGUUGUGGUUCAGUGGUAUGAAACUUGGGAAUUUUCUAGAUGGACAAAUGCAUCUCCAGCGGUAUGGGAAGAGUUCUCAGGGGCUUUCUUGCGUCAUUACUUGUCGGCAGAGAUUCGUCAGGCAAGGGUAGACAGGUUCUUGUCUCUUAAACAAGGGAAUAUGAGUGUGCGGAUAGUAUAGCCUCCAGUUUGAUUCCUUGGCGAGGUAUGCCCCCUCAAUUGUGGCUGAAAUAAGUGACCGAGUGCAUCGAUUUGUGGUAGGACUUGGGCCGCACCUGAUUAAUGAAUGCUUCACGGCCGCUCUGCUCGAUGGUAUGGAUAUUUCCCGCAUCCAGGCUUGUGCUCAGAAUUUGGAGGAUCGGAAAUGAUAGCAAUACGAGAAUCGUGAUGAGGGUCAGUGUAAGAAGGCUAGGUCUUCUAGGCGACCUGAGGAUUUUUCGGGGGAUCCUAUAUCACCAUACCCUGUUAAAAGUGUCCGACAGUUGCAGAAGCCGUAUUAUGAAGGAUCUGUCUAUUCUGAGUCAGGUCUGGGCUCAAGAAUUUCGGGUUUUCAGAAUCGGAGGGAUUCAACGCAGAUGAGGGCGCCCCCUCCGCGGUGCAGUCAAUACGUUAGAGCUCAUUCUGGACAAUGUCAUCAGGGAUCUAAUGUAUGCUAUAACUGUGGAGACCCUAGUCAUUACAUGAGGGAUUGUCCUAUAAAUGACAGGAGCUGGAUGGUUUAGCCCACCAGAUCUAUAACAGCCUCCUCCUCUUCAGUACGCUCUCAAGAGCGAGGCCCUCAGGCAUUAGCUGGUAGAGGCAGAGGCAGGGGUGGAACAUCUAGCUCCAACGGUAGACAGAACCGCAUAUAUGCUUUGGCAGGUCAUCAGGACCUAGAGGCUACACCGGAUGAUGUGUCAGGUACUGUAACUAUGGGUAAUGUUCGAUCUUAUUAACUCAAAUUGUACAAUUAAUAUGAUUAAUAUAAGAUUGAGUUGGCAUUACGUCUGAAGGGUUAAGGGAAAACAAGGCUAGCUUGAAAGCAAAGUAUGAACCCGAUUAUUAAGAUUACAACGAGUAGGUGUCGGCGCCUAGAAGAUAGAUUAACAGAAUCGUAGGUGACGAAUGGAUUAGGAAGUAGUUUUAGGGAGGGACGACGUCCUGACCCCGUGAGAGCCUCGAACCGUGGAUUACUCAUCUAGACAAUGAGACAUGACGAGGAAAGUAGCUCCCUCUCUUGAGCUCUAUCUCCCGAUCCGGAGUAUCAAAGAAGGGUGACGUUCCUUGUUACAUCCCGCAUUUCGUACGUUAAAGUUUCAUCAUAAGUUAAUCGACGUAGACUCGGGAAUGAGAUUAUUUUGAGAUCAUAAGCAUUUAUGCUAUUUGUAACAAAUGAUAAGUAAGUCCGAGGAUUAACAAAUCAAAGAAAUUGAGUAUCACCGAAGUUUGUUAAUUUGGAAUAAAAUACGGUCCGAGUUAUAAUAUACGAUAUUUAUGGACUAAUACCAUACAAGGUACCAUAUGACCAUGAUAAUACGAUUUAUAAAGUGUAUUAAGAUAAGUAAAAUUUUAAGUAAUUUGAGAUAAUUCUUAAUUAUGUGGGUAAUUGGUUAAUUAUCGGGUAGCGGGAUAUUACCUAAUUAAUUAAUUGGUUAUAAGAUAAGGUUAAAACCCCCCACCCUCACGUGGCAGCAAGCCACAACUAAGACAUAUGACUCUUAGUCAUAUUGNNNNNNNNNNNNNNNNNNNNNNNNNNNNNNNNNNNNNNNNNNNNNNNNNNNNNNNNNNNNNNNNNNNNNNNNNNNNNNNNNNNNNNNNNNNNNNNNNNNNNNNNNNNNNNNNNNNNNNNNNNNNNNNNNNNNNNNNNNNNNNNNNNNNNNNNNNNNNNNNNNNNNNNNNNNNNNNNNNNNNNNNNNNNNNNNNNNNNNNNNNNNNNNNNNNNNNNNNNNNNNNNNNNNNNNNNNNNNNNNNNNNNNNNNNNNNNNNNNNNNNNNNNNNNNNNNNNNNNNNNNNNNNNNNNNNNNNCCUUAGGUGGCUAUCUAAAGUAAUAAGACAUUAACGUGGAAGACAUUCAAGUUUGGUUUCAUUUAUGCAAGUUUGGUUUCAUUUAUACAAGUUUUGUUUUAUUUGGACAUAGAAUAAUAAAGUGAGGAAUCAUAUACCUUUCUUCCUAAUUCAAAGCAUUUCAAAAAUAGUCGCUAAAACGCAAUCCAACAAGUUUCCAACAAAAUUUCUUGCGACCAAAUUAAUUCCAGUGAGAAUUAUUAGCACCUUAGCAACAUAAACUUUUGCGGUUCCAAAGGAGUAUGGUGCAACCUUUUCAAAGAAUAUCAUACGGAUAUUUUUCUACUCCAGGUAUGUUAAGGCUAAUCCUUCUUUCUUUUGUCAUGAUCCAGGUAACGAUAAGUAAACGUAAUGCUAUUCCAUAAGUGGUUCUACUCUUAGCAGUUAAGGAUGUCUAUGUUAUUCAUUCAUGUAAAAUGAUAUUCAAGCAUGUCUAAGUAGUAUCUAGUUCCCUAUUGAGGUGUUUAAUAAAAACGUUAUUAUCAUAAUGGUAUUAUAUGUAUUAUACAUCUACCACCGAGCUACGACCGGUCGGGCAGUUACCACUGGUUGGGCAGUUAUGUAUUAUUAUUUACCACCGGUUGGGCAGUUAUGCAUUUACCACCAAGCUACAGUCGGUCGAGCAGUUACCACUGAUCAGUUGGGCAGUUAACGUCAUGAAAAUGAGAUAACUAGAACUAUUAUAUUGUAGUUUUAUUGUAGUUUUAUUUAUAUAUACAAGAUGAGUUUUAUUCUAUAUGUUACGGCCCUCAUCGGCAAGUCAGAAGUUAUAAGUUGACCCUUAUCUCUCCCCUAGAUAGUAUCUUAUUAUUAUUACGUUUCAUUGCUGCCUUACAUAUUCAGUACAUUCUUCGUACUGCUGCCCCUUUUUCUGGGGCACUGUGUUUCAUGCCACGCAGGUGUAGAUAGGCGAGGUGAGGACCAUCCAUUGUAGGCUACCUCCAGAUAUCAGUUUUUGGUUGGUGAGCUCUACAUCUUCCUGGAGUAUUGCCGAGUCACGUUCUAUAUAUUUUACUUUGUUUUAGGAGGAUGUCGGGGACCCUGUCUCGACUUAUAUGUUAUGGUCAUGAUUUCUUAGAGGUUUUGCAGACAUUGUCCUAUGUAUAGCUUUAGGUAUGACAUGUCAACGGCCUUGUCGGCCCCUAUGUAUCUAUAUAAAUCUUUUUGAAUUAGUUAUGUGAGUUAAGUUCUAAUAUUGUUAAUUAUAUAUAUAUAGAUGUGGCCUAUCAUGGCCCGUGAUGAGUCUUAUAGAAAAAAAAGAUAAGGUACAUGGCUCUCGGUUGAGUAGGCACCGGGUGCCAGUCGUGGCCCUCUGAUUUGGGUCAUGACAUUCCUAUAUGUCCAAGUAGCCUCUUGAUUAUAGAUGUGGUCGACAACACACCAAUAAGAAGGACUCUACUAGACACGGCUCUGAGACAUCCUAGGAAGCUUUGAAACCUUAGGUUCUGAUACCAAGUUUGUCAUGCCCCGACUUUGGGGAGCGCGACUGGCGCUCUACCGAGAUAACCCGGUCGAGCAAGCCUACUUGAUGCCUUCUAUCCAAUCUUACCCAUGAUCAAUAUAAAAUCAAUAUCAAGAGAUAUACAUGAGGAGAGUGUAAUGUUCCCCAUUUUUAUCCCAUUUCUUAAAAGAAAUUCCUUUACGAUUUCCAAAAUAUUACAAGUUUAUAGAUAUAAUGAAAAACAUGUUUGCCAAAUAUCACCACUUCUAGAUUAAUUUCCAACAUCAGAACCACCCACAACCUGUCUACGGAGCCUCUAUGUUCAACAAAAAAGUAGUAUGGAAGUGCCGGCAACAAGGCCCCGGCUAUACCUCAAAACACAAUGUACAACAUCAAAUGACGUCAGGCUCGAAAUAGAGUAGGGCUCACCAAAACCUAGUGAAAAGGGAGUAGUUGCUAAUGAGGACCAAAACUGCUCGCAGAUGAACCACCUGCAUCCAUUGAAGAUGCAACACCCCUGAAAAAAGGGACGUUAGUACAUAUAGAAUAGUACAAGUAUUUAAAGUUAACUAUCCUCUUUCAAAAUAGAAUGCCAACGUAAGAAAGGAAAACCUUGGAAACAAUAAUAAAAAAUAAAUGAUAUCCAAAUUCCAAGUUAAAACAUAAUAAUUUUUAAAAUACAAAGAUAAUAUUAUUUUAGGUUGGGAGAUCCCUUGUAACAACCUAUACACAAAGCGGCCCCUCCGCCUCAUCCCAAUGUGUGCGGGUGGAGGUGUAAUUUCAAUAUCACAUUCUUUACACAAAGUGGCCCUGCCGCCUUACCCUAAUGUGUGUGGUGGAGGAGUAAUUUCAAUACCACAAUCUCUACACAAAGCGGCCCUGUCGCCUUACUCCAAUGUGUGCGGGUGGAGGUGUAUUCACAAUCACAAUUCCUACAUAAACCAGCCCUGCCGCCUCACCCCAAUGUAUCCGGGUGGAGGUGUAUUCACAAUCACAAUCCCUCCACAAAGAGGCCAUGCCGCCUCACCCCAAUAUAUGUGGGUGGAGGUGUAUUCACAAUCAAUAUCUCUACACAAAGCGGCCCUGCCGCCUCACCCCAAUGUAUGCUGGUGGAGGUGUAUUCACAAUCACAAUCUCUACAUAAAGCGGGCCUGCCGCCUUACCCCCAAUGUAUGCAAGUGGACAUCACAUUCCGCUAGCAAUCAUCUCAUACCAAAUAAGGGGAAUAAUCUCAUCACAUCAAUCUCAUCCCAAAUAAGGGAAAUAAUCACAAUGCACUCCUACACCGACAUUGUAGUUUCGGGGUUAGGUUAUUUCAACCAACCCUUUCUCAGUGACUAUCGAUACUCCCAAAACAUUUUUGAUUUUCAUACAAGGGAAACAGAAAUACAAUUGCAUUUACCUCAUAACUUUCACACCAUUUAUAGCCUCAUUGGUACUUUCAACCACUUACAACCUCAAUAUUUCAUUGGCUCUCUUGGCCAUACAUAUGAUUCUUCAUCCAUGGCACAAUGGCCGUAUUUCAUAUUCCACAGUUUCAUUUUUUUCCUUACAUGGAUCAUCAUCAUAAAUAUGAACAAAUAGAAUAUUCCAAAAAUCACAACUUUAGGUUCAUUAGUAAUGAAGACUUUAAACACAAUGGAUUUCUUUCUAAGAUAUGGAGUAAAAUGAUUAGCAAUCGAAGCAGAAGUUAAAAUCAUAAACGAGUAACACAUCAUUUAUUCUUGAAAUACGUUUCCCGAAAAGGGCAAUACACAAUUUCAACUCAUGAAUAUAUAAGAGCUCAAAAUACAUUAGAAAUACUUACAAAGCAUAGCAUUAGUUGAAACAACCACAUUUGGGCAUGACUUGAGUACAUAAGCUUUUAGGUAAAUCUAUUUUCGAAGUCAAUUUGGAACAGUUCAAUCAAAGCUCAUUUCAUAACCUUUCUCACAUCAUAUCAUUUCCUUGGCAAUAUUGGCCACAAGUAUAACUUUCAUUAUUGGCACAGUGGCCACACUUUACAUCUUUAACCCACUUCUUCCACUUUCAAGUAUCCUUAUAGAUUAUCAACAACAAGGCAUUUAAAAUCAAGACUUUAGGUAUACAUAUGAGCAAUAAAAGUUUUAGACGCAUGGAGUAUUCUUUCCAAGUUAAGCAUAAUGGACUCUCAUUUGAAACAUAACUCAAAGCCAUAACAUUUUAAUACACAUAUCGUUCUUGAACAUAUUCCCGAAGUAUAACAUAAUGUGAUAGAAACAUUCGGAACACAUCUUGAAUACAUAAAUCUCAACACCUUGCUUACUCGGGACAAUUGAAUUUCUUGGAAAUAACUCAGAACAUGGGAAUAAGGAACUUGAGCCAACCAUACUAGAAACUUACGGGAACAUCAUGGAAUUCAAUUCUAAGAUAGUAGUUUAGCCAACAUACCUGAAAGUUUUCCCUUAAUGAUACUACAAUGGUCCACUACACUAAGAAACUUCAAUCUACAAUAACAACAUUCAAUGGGACCAAUAUUAGUAACAAAUUCCAUAAUUUAGGCCGUUUAGACACUUUAUCAAACACCUAGUAGGCAUAAAUCUCUACAUCUCUUUACCAUAGAAUUAGUUCAUCCAACUACCACCACUUACCAAUAAUUUAUCCCACCAUCAUUCUUAAACAAUUUAUAACUUCCAACAUCACAUCAUGACCAUCCAUCCAUACCCAACCAACAAAAUUCCAUAAAAUAAUCACCUUUCAAUCUCUAUAAUGGCUUAGUUUUUUAAAUUGGGAACUUAUGGCUUCUAAUCACCAUCCCAUAAGUUCCAAUACUUAAUUCUUACUCAUAUUACCAUAAUAAACCCAUGCAUGUAAGUCUAAGGGUGUAGGAUUACCUUUUGGAAGAAAUCUAGCAAAACCCUCCUUUGAUUUUUUUGAAGGAAUUUCAUGAGAAUCUAAGGAUUUCAUGGUGGAUUGAGUUAGUUCUAGUGUGGAAACGAUAGGAUUCACGCCAAGAUAAAGGGAGAUUUCUUACCUUGAUGAUGGGAGGAGUUGGGGGUCUUGAGAGAGUGGAGGAAAGCUCCAAAAUUCGUCCAAAUGAAUGGGGAAAAUGAGCCUACGAAAUGACUUAAAAGAACCUAAAGCUGGGGCGCGCCCAGUCUGGCGAAGUGAGCCUCAUUUUGCUGUCUACAACAUACAAGGGAAGAUAGGAUCCAUGCCCGGUCUGGCGAAGCGAGCCUUGCUUCGCUGUCUGCCAAAAUAACUGGGUGAUCUAACUUUGGUAAUUGGAUCAUAACCUUUAGUAGGAAUGUCCAAAUGACGAACGGCUUGAUGCGUUAGAAACUAGACUCAAAGGGAUACACUCCAGUGGCAAAAUUCAUUGAAAAUAUAUUUAUAUUACGAGAGUUAUACUCAUUCAAAGUCAAAUAUUGUGCAAAUUUGGACAUCUAUUCCACUUAACAUUUCCAACUCGUUCCAAACAACUUCUUCCCACUUACAAACCUCCUUAAUAUGUUCCAAAACACUCUCCAUAUGUUUUUUCAAGUCAAAAUAAUAUGGUUCUAUCCCAUAGGUCUCCUUUAAUACUCCAAUAUGUUAUUCCCAAAUACCGUUGGCGCACUUUAAAAAUCUUAAAUUAUUAGGAAAUUUUAAUGGGGACUUACAGUCUCGCUAGGGUGCGGGCAGGGGUGCGACAUGUCACGUCAAGUCAGUUCUUCAGCUACUACCUUUGCAACACCUCCUCCAGCUCGAGGCUCUCCAACACUCGUAGGGCAUGGUUCAGCUUGGGGUGGUACACAGAGUUCGGGAGGACCCAACCUUUCUAUGCUAUGCAGGGUCGCUAGAGUUCAGAGGCCUCUCCUGAUAUUGUCACAGGUAUAUUGACUGUCCAAUCUCAUGAUGUGUAUGCUCUUAUUGAUCCCGGUUCCACUUUAUCCUAUGUCACUCCUUAUGUUGCUAUGGAGUUUAGGAUAGAACCAGAACAACUUCAUGAGCCGUUCUCUGUAUCUGCUCCGUUUGGUGAGUCUUUUGUGGCCGCGCGAGUUUAUAGGGAUUGUGUUGUCACAGUGCAUGGUCGGGACACCAUGGCCGAUCUCAUUCAAUUGGGGAUGGUUGAUUUUUAUGUAAUAAUGGGGAUAGAUUGGCUUUAUUCAUGUUUUGCGAAGCUUGACUGUCGAACCAGAACCGUUAGGUUUGAAUUUCCAAAUGAGUCAGCGAUUGAAUGGAAGGGGGAUGAUGUGGUGCCGAAGUGUAGGUUUAUUUCUUACCUUAAGGCCACAAAGAUGAUUAACAAGGGGUGUAUUUACCAUUUGGUCCGAGUUACAGACACCAAUGUUGGGGCACCUACACUUGAGUCCGUGCCGGUUGUGAAUGAAUUUCCAGAUGUCUUUCCAGACAAGCUCCCUGGGAUCCUACCAGACAUGGAGAUUAAUUUUGGGAUUGAUUUGAUGCCAGGCACACAUCCUAUAUCUAUUCCACCCUACAGAAUGGCACCGACAGAAUUGAAGGAGUUAAAGGAACAAUUGAAGGAUUUGUUAGAGAAAGGUUUCAUUCGACCGAGUGUGUCGCCUUGGGGUGCACCGAUCCUAUUUGUAAGAAAGAAGGAUGGGUCGCUAAGAAUGUGUAUUGACUAUCGGCAGCUCAACAAUAUUACAAUCAAAAAUAAGUACCCACUGCCAAGGAUAGAUGACUUGUUUGAUCAAUUGCAGGGUGCUAAGUACUUCUCCAAGAUUGAUUUAAGAUCCGGAUAUCACCAAUUGAAGAUCAGGGAGCAGGAUAUUCCGAAAACAGCUUUCAGGACCCGGUAUGGGCACUUUGAAUUUUUGGUAAUAUCUUUUGGGCUAACAAAUGCCCCUGUAUUUUUCAUAUGAAUCGAGUCUUCAAGCCUUUUAUUGACUCAUUCGUGAUAGUGUUUAUUGACGAUAUCCUUGUAUAUUCACGAAGUCGAGAGGACCAUGUCGAUCAUCUCAGGGCGGGUUUGCAGACCCUAUAUCAACACUAGUUACAUGCGAAGUUUUCAAAAUGUGAAUUUUGGCUUGAAUCUAUCACGUUCUUAGGUCAUGUUAUCUCUAGAGAAGGAAUUAAGGUUGAUCCUUGGAUGAUUGCAGCUGUGAAGAAUUGGACUAGACCUACUACCCCAACUGAGAUUCGUAGUUUCUUGGGCUUAGCUGGAUAUUAUAGAAAGUUUGUGGAGGGGUUCUCUACCCUUGCCUCGCCGUUGACUAAAUUGACGCAGAAGGCAGUUAAGUUCCAAUGGUCAGAUGCUUGUGAAAGGAGCUUCCAGGAGUUGAAAUCGAGAUUGACUACGGCACCAGUCUUGACUCUACCAGAUAGUACAUAUGGGUUUGUGGUAUAUUGCGAUGCUUCAAGAAUCGGACUUGGGUGUGUAUUAAUGCAACAUGUCAAGGUGAUAACUUAUGCUUCUAGGCAACUCAAGAAUUAUGAAAAGAACUAUCCAACACAUGUCUUAGACCUUGCAGCGGCGGUCUUUGCAUUAAUGAUUUGGCGUCAUUAUUUGUAUGGGGUCCAUGUGGAUAUAUUUACGGACCAUAAAAGCGUUCAAUAUAUUUUCAAAUAGAAGGAAUUGAAUAUGAGGCAGAUAAGAUGGGUUGAGUUACUCAAGGAUUAUGACAUCGACAUCCUAUAUCAUGAGGGGAAGGCUAAUAUUGUGGAGGAUGCUCUUAGUCGGAUAUCUAUUGGUAGUUUGGGUCACUUGGAGGAAUAUCAAAGGCCGUUGGUCAAGGAGGUUCAUAGGUUGGCUAGUUUGGGAGUUCAUCUUGCGGACUCUAGUGAAAGAGGGGUUAUUGUGCAAAAUAGGGCUGAAUCAUCGCUUGUGGUGGAUGUCAAGGAGAAGCAGUACAACGACCCAUUGUUAGUACAAUUGAAAGAGGGGAUUCAUAAACAUAUGACCAUAGACUUUACUCUUGGCAUGGAUGAUGGUACACUAAGGUACCAAGGGCGACUAUGUGUUCCAAAUGUAGAUGGUCUCCAGGAAAGAAUCAUGACCGAGUCUCACACUUCUAGGUAUUCUGUGCACCCGGGCACUACAAAGAUGUAUCAUGAUCUUAGGGAAGUCUACUGGAGGAAUGAUAUGAAGAGGAAUGUAGCGGACUUUGUCGCAAGUGAAGGCCUAGUACCAAAGGCCCGAUGGGUUGGCACAGAACAUAGAAAUUCCAAUGUGGAAGUGGGAGAGGAUCAAUAUGUACUUUGUGGUGGGACUACCUCGCACGCCUGGCAAGUUCGACUCGAUUAAGGUAAUUGUGGAUCGACUCACAAAAUCAGUACGCUUCUUACCUGUUAAGGUUACCGAGACAAUAGAACAUUAUGCUUAGUUGUAUAUCAAGGAAAUAGUGAGGUUUCAUGGAACUCCAGUUUGUAUUAUCUCAGAUCGAUGGGCACAAUUCACGGCUAAGUUUUGGAAGAAAUUUCAUCAAGGUUUGGGCACCCAGGUGAAUCUUAGUGUAGCCAUUCACCCGCAAACUGAUGGGAAGGCAGAGCGGACUAUUUAGACACUUGAGGAUAUGUUGCGCGCUUGUGUUCUUGACUUCAAGAGUAGUUGGGAUGAUAAUUUGCCGCUUAUAGAGUUUGCCUACAACAACAGUUAUCAUGAUAGCAUUCAGAUGGAACAGUUCGAGGCUUUAUAUAGUAGGAGAUAAGCGGAGUUGAUAGGGCCAUACCUCAUGCAUCAGGCUAUGAAAAAGGUUAAGAUCAUUAAGAAGCGGUUGAAAACUGCUCAGAGUCAUCAGAAGUCCUAUUCAGACGUUCGUCGUAGGGAUUUGGAGUUCAAAGCAGAUGAUUGAGCCUAUGAAGGCUAUAAUGUGGUUUGGUAAGAAAAGGAAAUUGAGUCCGAGGUAUGUCGGACCGUGCAAAAUCAUUCAGAGGAUUGGUCAGGUGGCUUACAGGAUAGAACUACCUCCAGAGAUGUCUUUAGUGCACCCGGUAUUUCAUGUAUCCAUGUUGAAGAGGGUGGUUGGAGAUCCGUCGCUUAUUGUUCCGGUUGAGACUAUUGAGGUUAAUGAAGAAUUGACCUAUGAAGAAAUUCCAGUUGCCAUUCUUAAUAGGCAAGUUCUAAAGUUAAGGAACAAAGAGAUUGCCUCCGUGAAAGUACUAUGGCAGAAAAAGCAGGUUGAAGAGGCCACCUGGGAGGCCGAGGAAGAAAUGAAGAAGAAAUACCCUCAUUUGUUUGAAUAGCCAUGUACUUAUAAAGUGUUGUUCUAUGAAAAUGCUAAGAGCUUACCUUCUAUGAAUUAUGUAUCAUUUGUACAGUUGAUGUUAAGGGUGUUCCUUUUUGGUGAUAUACUGCUCGUGAAGCCACGGUUGGCGUUGUUUUUAUGUUAUGUCACGUUGUUGGUUCAUGUAUAUGUUGUUAGGGUUGGUUUAUGGGAUUCUCUGACAGGUGGAUAGGCCCAGUUACAGGGGAAACUCUGGCAAAAAAUUUUAAAAAUUUGGGGAGUUAGUCAAAAGUUUGGAACUGUUGGUGUGUGUUAUAGCAGCUGAGUCACAUUGGUUUCUAAUGACGGAUUUUGGCCCUCAUUUGAGGACGAAUGAUCUUAAGCAGGGGAGGAGGUAAGGCCCCGUAAAAUUUUACUUAAAAACCCGGGGUUUCGUGAUGCCAAGAUAGCUUUAUGUGUCGAUGAUUGUAGAAAUUCUUCGUGGCUCGCAAGCUUGUCGUGGUACGGACUUUUUGGAUUGAACAACGCGUUGGGGAGUUGAUUUUUUCUUUUUGGCAGUGUGGGGCAUUUCUACGGUAUGUUCUGCAGUCGCAGAACUGAUCUGUGGACCGCAGAUCCACCGCAGCGUGAAGCAGUGAACUGGGAAAAUUUAGGACGAUAUUUUGCAAUCAAUUAUGCGGCCGCAUAAUCAUUUCGCGGGCCGCAUAAUCCAUCGCAGAUCCAACACAAAAAAUUCCGGAGAGAAGUUCUGCGAUGCAUUAUGCGAUUGCAGAUUAGGUAUGCGGACCGCAGACCGGUCGCAUAGUGAGGUAAGAGUGCCCAGUUCCGGAGGGCCAUUAUGCGGACCGCAGAAGCGUUAUGCGGUCGGAUAUGCGACCGUAGAUCUGCAUCGGGGCUUCAUUUCUGGUUUUAUAAACCAGACCCCAUUCUUAUAAAAUAAUCUUAGGGAUUAUUUUAAAAGGUUCAAACUUAUAUUUUAGAGAGAGAAAGGUGGUCUAGAGUGAGAAAAGGAAUUUCUAAGUCAUUUGUUCAUCAAUCUUUGCUCAAGCCUUGAAGAUUUCACAAGGGUAACUCACAAGGUCUUCAUCCUAGAGGUAAGAUUCUACUCCAUAGCCCUCAAUUUCAUGAUUUUACAGAAAAUAGGUAAUGAGAAAAGCAAUUCUUGGGUGUGGGAGUUGUCAGUUAUGCAUGCAUGUACUAUCAAGGGUUGGGGAAAGAAUGUUGAGCUAAAUUGGGUAGACUUUGGGUAGUGGGAUGGAGGAAUCCACCAUAGGAGGACCUUGAAAUCAUAAUACCCACUUAGUGUUUGAUAAAUGCUCAAAUGAGCUGGAACCAUAAACUCUCUCCUAAUUUAUGUUCAAUUUUGCUAUAUUUCUAAAUAGAUCGAAGUGGCUAAGAAUUCCAGAACAUUGUAGUAAUUUAAAAGGCUCGAGGCGAGGUAUGUUGGCUAAACUCAUUUCUUAGAAUUGAACCCCGCAAUAUCCUUGUAAGUCCUGAGUUAUUCAUUAUGAAUUGAUUAUUCCGAAUAAGCCUUGUGUCAAAAGAUAUAUGUUCAAUAUGUAUUCCAAUGUUCUUGUUAUGUUAUAUUCUAUUUGAAAAUAUGCUUGAAGCAUGGGUUGCAUAUCCAAAUGCUAUAUCUUUAAGUCGUGAUUCAAAUGAAGGCUAUUAUGUCAAAUUGUGUAAGAAAUUUCAAUGUGUUUAACAUCCUUAUUUGCUUAAUAUAUGGACUUAAAGUAUUGAAUAGAAAUGCUCUGUUGUUGAUGAUCCGUGAUAAGGUUUGAAAGUAAAAGAGAUGAAUAUGAAGUAUGAAAUAUGGCCAACGUGCCAAGAGUGACAUUGUGUUAUGGCCAUUGGUGCCAAUGAACUAAAUGAUAUAUAAAAGAUAAUGAAAUGAGUUGUCAACCCUUUUAAAUAAAUAAACACCCUGGGAGUAUCGUUGGUCACCGAGAAAGGGUAGGUUGAAAUAACCUAACCCCAAAACAACACGUGCCGGUGUAGGAGUGAAUUGUGAUUGUACCCCUUUAUUGGGAUGGGAUUGUUGUAAAGAGAAUAUUCCCCUUUAUUGGGAUGAGACGAUUGCUAGAAAAGGGUGAUGUUGAUCCACAUGGCAUUGUGGUGAGACGGCUUAGCUGGUCGGGUCGUGAUCGGAUGCCAUGCUGCACACAUGGUGGUGAUUGUGCUUGAAAUUAUUAUUGAGAUAUUGAUUGAAAACGUGAUAAUGAUUGUGAUUGUGGUCGAUGUCUUUGGAUGAGACGACCUAGCCGAUCGGGCCGUGAUCGUACUCCGUGCUAAAAAUUACGGUGGUAUAUCGGUGCUAAGAUCUCUCAACCUAAAAUAAAGGAAGUUUACUUGACACUUAUCUUGCUCCUAAUUUGAUGUUUUAGUAUUGCCUGAGGCUUCCAUUGAUUUAUGACUGUCCUUCCUUGUGCUAUCAUUCGUUAUAACGAGAGGGUGUUUAGUCUUACAUACUAGUACUAUUCCAUAUGUACUAACGUCCCUUUUGCCGGGGGGCGCUGCAUCUUUAAUGGAUGCAGGUGUUCCGCAGCAGGUGGCAUUGAUCAUUGAUAGCAGUACACCCUCCUCUUAGAAGAUUUGGUGAGCCCCACUUCAUUCGGGGUUGUGUAUCUCUUGUCCCAUGUGUAUUAUAUUUUGAGGUAUAGCCGGGGCCUUGUUGUCGGCGUUAUUAUAGUAUUUUAUAUUAGUAGAGGCUCCGUAGACACAGUGUGGGCUGCAUAUGGGUGUUGGGAAAGUCAAACUAGCCUUGUUAUAUCUGAAUCACUUCUUGCACUUUAACUAUGAUUGUGUAUGUAUUUUGAGACUAUAAGAUGAAGUGACUAAUGUUAAUGGAGUUGGCAUUGUUCAUGGAAUCCACUCAAUGUUUAAUUAAAGAUAUAAAUGUAUCUUCUCUUUAUUCAUGGGCGAGUGGGUUAGAAUGUAUUGUAAAGGCUUGCUUGACUGGGGUAUCUCGGUUGAGCGCCAGUCGCACUCCCCAAGGUUGGGGCAUGACAGAAAGGCUGUGAGUAUGGGUAGCCUUGCAUAUAUCCCAGUUGGUUAAAGACUGCUAGCAUAAGAUGUUCAGGCUUUGGCCAAUCAGUUCGUGAGGUUAGAUGUGUCGGAGCCUAGCCGGGUUCUUGCUUGCGUGGUUUCUCAGUCUUCUUUGUAUGAGCGCAUCGGAGAGCGUCAAUAUGAUGACCCCCAUUUGCUCGUCCUUAAGGACAUAGUGCAGCACGGUGAUUCCAAGGAGGUUUCUAUUGGAGAUCUGGGGUGUUGCAGAUGCAGGGUUAGAUUUGUGUGCCCGAUGUGGAUGAGUUACGUGAAUUGAUUCUUGAAGAAGCCCACAAUUUGCGGUAUUCCAUUUAUCCAGGUGCUGACAAGAUGCAUCAGGAUUUGAGUCAACACUAUUGGUGGAGAAGUAUGAAGAAAGAUAUAGUGGGGUAUGUGGCUCAAUGUUUGAACUGUCAGCAGAUGAAGUACGCGCAUCAGAGGUCGGGCAGUUCACUUUAGAGACUUGAGAUUCCCGACUGGAAAUGGGAGUGUUUUACUAUGGACUUUGUUGUUGAGCUCCCACGGACUUUGAAGAAAUUUGAUGCAGUUUGGGUGAUUAUGGAUCAGUUGACUAAGUCCGCACAUUUCAUUCCGGUUGUGACUACCUAUUCUUUAAAGCGGAUGGUUGAAAUCUAUAUUCGCGAGAUUGUUCAUCUUCACGGUGUGCCGGUGUCCAUUAUUUCUAAUCGGGGAUCGCAAUUCACAUCACAGUGUUGGAGAGUAGUGCAACAAGAGUUAGGCACGCGGGUUGAGUUGAGUACAACAUUCCACCCCCAGACGGACGAAAAUUCUGAGCACACCAUUAAGAUCUUAGAGGAUAUGCUACGCAUUUGUGUUAUAGAUUUCGGGGGUUCUUGGGAUCAAUUUCUACCACAUGCUAAGUUUGCCUACAACAACAACUAGCAAUCGAGUAUUCAGAUGGCUCCUUAUGAGGCCUUAUAAGGGAGGUAAUAUUGUUCUCCAUUUGGUUUGUUUGAGUUUGGAGAGGCAAGACUGUUAGGCACUUAUUUGAUUUGGGAUGCCUUGGAUAAAGUCAAGUUGAUUCAGGAUCAAGGUCGUACAACACAGUCUAGGUAGAAGAGUUACACUGAUCGAAAGGUUCGUGAUGUUGCAUAUAUAAUAGGAGAGAAGGUGUUGCUCAGAGUUUCACCCAUGAAGGGUGUGAUGAGGUUCGGGAAGAAGGGCAAGUUUAGCCCUCGAUAUAUUGGUCCUUGUGAGGUUCUUGAGAGGAUUGGAGAGGUGGCCUACAAGCUUGAAUUGCCACCUAGUUUAUCGGGUGUUCACCUAGUAUAUCAUGUUUUUAUGCUCCAGAAGUAUUAUGGUGAUCUGCCUCAUGUUUUGGAUUUUAGCACGGUUUAGUUAGAUGGGGAGCUAGUGGACAUUUUGGAUAGGCAAGUUUGAAAGUUGAUAGAUCAAAGAAUAUAACUUCGGUGAAGGUUCAGCGGAGAGGCCAGCCAGUCGAGUAGGAUACUUGGGAGACCAUGCGGAGCAGAUAUCCACGCCUAUUUGAGACUCCAAGUAUGAUUCUAGUCUCGUUCGAGGACGAACAUUUGUUAAAGAGGGGGAGAAUGUAAUGACCCGGCCGGUCGUUUUGUGUAUUGUAGCCCCGUUCCCCCAUUUAUCGCUUCUUCUAUGCUUAAUUACGGUUAUGUAACUUUCCGAGGUUGUUGGAUUGGUUACGCGGAGGUUUUAUGUAACACUGGUAUUGUGAACAUUGGUAUUGUGAACAUUGGUAUUGUGAACAAUGGUAUAUCAGUGCUAAUGAUCUCCCAACCAAAAAUUGUAUAUGAAGUUCGUAUUUUGAAAAUUAUUAUGUUUUAACUGGACAUUUGGAUAUUGUGGAUUUUGACUUGUUGUUUCUAUGUGUUGCCUUUUCUUAUAUGGGAAUUCUAUUUUGAAAAAGGAUUUUUAGCUAUACAUACUAGUGCUAUUCGACAGUACUAACGUCCCUUUUACCGGGGGAGCUGCAUCUUUAAUGGAUGUAGGUGGUUCUAGAGCAGGUGUCAUUGAUCAGUGAUAGUAGUACACUCUUUUCAGCUGAUUUGGUGAGCCCCACUUCAUUUCGGGGUCAUGUAUUUGUUUCUCAUGUACUUUGUUUUGAGGUAUAGCCGGGGCCUUGUUGCUGGCAUUUCCAUAUUACUCUUCUAUUGUACUUAAAGGCUCCAUAGACAGGUUGUGGGUUGUGGUUGAUGUUGGGAACUGAACUAGAUAUGUUGGUAUUUGGAAAUUAUAUUUUUCAUUAAUUCUAUAAAAUCGUAAUAUUUUUGAAAUUAUGAAGGAAGCUGCUAUUGGGAAUGAAAAAUGAAGUUGUUAAUGAAAUCUUUUCAGUGUUUGAUUAAUAGAGUACAUCUCCUAUUAUUUUAUGAAUGAGUUUGGGUAGAAUGAAAUCUAACUGGCUUGCUCAGCCGGGUUUACUCGGUUGAGCGCCGGUUAUGCUCCCCGAGUUUAGGGCAUGACACAUAUGUUCUCAGUCAUAAUACAAUAUCCGUGUAUGAUAUCUCUGUCUCAGUACUUCUUAUUUGAUUCCUCACAUGUUGUUGAUACCGCUUAAGGGUAAAACUGUUAAACUGAGUAUUUGAGAUGUGUUUAUCUGAGACUUGAACUGUAAAUGACUGAGUUUAGGCCUUAGAGCCGGUUUAGUACUGAUUUUGAGAUGACACGUACGCCAGCCCAUAUUGGGUUUAGUGUUAUUAUUUCGGAGCGCCGCGUGCAUCAGGCCUCAUUAUUGGGCUAAAUGAUUAUAAUUAGCACUUGGGAACUAUCCGCCCCCCGGAGUCUGACAUGCCAGCAGUGGGCGCAUGCACAAUAUUCCACAUAUGUGCUUGAUGAUGGGCAGUUAUGCUAGGCACCCGUACAAUGCUAAGUGUUAAUAUUCUUGAUGGAUCCACUGCGAUACUGUUGAUUGACACGUAUACCUGACAUGUAGGCAUAAAGAUGUACUUUCCUCAUGCUACCUGAUAAUUGAUCUGCUUUAUAUGUGUUGGGCUUCAACUGUUAUACUUGAAAGCAUUCAUAAAUUACUAAAAUGUGAACAAGAUGAACUUGAUAUUAUUGAGAUACUAUUUCUACGGUUUAUCCUUUAUAUUCUGAACAGUUAUUAGUUAUUAGUAUUGGCGUUAGAUUGUUGCUCUGCGCUCGUCAUACUUUCAACCCAAGGUUAGUGUUGUUACUUAUUGAGUACAUUGGGUUGGUUGUACUCAUACUACACUCUACACUUCGUGUGCAGAUCCAAGUACAUCCGGUCGAGGUGAUUUUCAGGCUUGAGUUGUGCCAUCUUUUGGGAGACUACGAGGUAGCUGCAAUAUCGUCUGCAAUACUUGAAGUUAUCUUCCUGUUAUCUUUAUCUUUACUGUUCCUACAUUCAGAUAGUUGUAUUAGAGGAUUUUGCUUGUACCUUGUUAUUCAGUAGUGCUCAUGUACUCGUUGACACUAAAUUUUGGGGUUGGUUGUAGUAGCUUUUUGACUUUAUUCUCAGAUAUUUUUAUGGUAUUCUUUCGCUGUUGAGUUAUUAGAACAUUUUAUUUCAUUUUCAUUGAUGUCAAGUGACUAUUGGCUUACCUAGCAGGUUGAGUUAAGUGCCAUCACAACUUGUGGAUUUUGGGUCGUGACACAAGGACUAAAUUGAAUGCACUUUAAUUUCGCUCCACAUGUCUACAUAUUGAUAUUUGGUUAAAAGUAAAUAUUUUAAGCAUAUUUGUGCCUCAUAUUGUGUGUAUAUCUAUUGUGGAUUUGUAUUGUUUUGGAAGUACUUUUGAGCUAAAUAAGGUUUAUUUAUGUGUAGGACGUAUUUGGAAUAAAACGAUGAGAAAGCGAAUAAGUUGGAGCGAGAAUUGAAGACAUAUGGAUGAAGUAUUUCAGUGCCCAGACCAACAUUUGGUGGUGCAUGUAGCAUCCAAGAACUUAGAGAAUUUUAGAGAAUAAAAUCCAGCGUCGAGGUCACCGUCUGGCGGUGCCUGUAGCGCUGGAAUUAGAAAGUUUGUAGAAUCUGGCAUCCAGUUCACCGUCUUGCUGUAAUGUCUCGACUGGUCGAUUUGAGCAUUUACAUUCAGUUUGGUAUUUUGAGGUCAUUAGUAGCUUCAUAUGGUGUAUUAUGACUUGCGCAUAUAGUCGGUUUUGGUCUUCAAGUUGUUUAGAAUUGAUUUGGAAGAACGAUUCUCAUUUUAGAUGCUUUAAGUUGGAAGAAUUGAUCAAGUUUGACUUUUGUGUAUUUGACCCUGGAUCGGAGUUUUGAUGGCUCCGUUAGGUCUGAAUGGUGAUUUUGGACUUGGGCGUCUUCUAGAAGGUUUCGGCCAUAAUUGGCGAAAGUUGGCAAUUUAAAGGUUUGGAAGGUUCAUAAGUUUGACUGGGAGUCAACUUUGAUGAUAUAAUAUUCAAAUUGUUGUUCCAGGAGUUGUAACAAGUUUGUUAUGUCAUUUGGAACUUGAGUGCACAAUUUGAGGUCAUUUCGAGUAGAUUUGAUAUGGUUCGACACGAGUUUUAAAAGUUGAAAGUUCAAAAAUUCAUUUAGUUUGAUUUGAGGUGCGAUACGUAGUUUUGAUGAUGUUAUUUGUAAUUUUAGGACUCGAUUAGGUUCGUGUUAUGUUUUUGUACUUGUUGGUAAAAUCGGACAGGGUCCCGAGGGGCUCGAGUGAGUUUAGGGGUAGUUUCAGAUCAUUUCGGAGGAUGAUUUCAUUGUUGGUUUUUGCUGUUUUCGGAUGCCUCAGUUAUUCUUCGCGAUCACGUAGGCUAAGUUUGGAGCUGGGUAUUAUCUUCUUCGCAUUCGUGACUGGAUGAUCGCAUUCGCACUAUAGGUUCGCAUUCGCAUUGGGGAGCUGGGAGUUGGUGGAAUUGUUCAUCGCGUUCACGAUGUUGUUGCCGUGUUCUUGGAUGUUUGGCAUCAUUGUUCAUCGCGUUCGCAAGUAUGUGCUGCAAACGCGUAGUGUACUUUUUGUGGGCGGUGAAGUUGCGCUUCGCGAUUGCGAAGUUGGUUCCGCGAUCUCGAUAGCUGCAAAUGGCCAACAAUUAUACAUUUCCCAAAACCGGUAGUACGGAGUCAUAAACUCUACUUAAAAACAAUAGAAUUUCUCAAUAAAAUAUUGUCUCGAAUUGCAAUUUAACAGUAGCACAAUGAAGUAAGAUGGUGACUCUGAGGCCUGCGAAUGUUAAAUAGGUAUACCUUAAAGUCUCCCGCCGCGCAAACGCAACUCUCAACAACAUAAUCAGAAAUACUUGGAUCUGCACAAAAAUGUGUAGAAGCAUAGCAUGAGUACGCCACAACGGUACCUAGUAAGUAUCAAGCCUAACCUCGGUAGAGUGGUGAUGAGGCCAGGUCAAGACACCUACUAGACAUAGAACCUGUUCAAGAUAUACAUAGAGCUAACAAUGGAAAGAAUAUGAAUGCAAAGCUAACGGCGGAAAGAAUAUUGAUUUACAACCAACAAUGAAAUGAUAGAAACACAAAUGGUAGCAAGUAGUAAAUGAGUAAUAAGAAGCAACAUAAUCAGAACAUCGAUGAGAUAUGAAUAAGCUCAAAUAAGGAAGAACAUAUGACAACUAAAAUAAUCAAAUCGUUUCCAAUGCAUGGACUUACAACAAGAAUUUCCCCCGAGGCUCCACACCUCAUAAAUGACAAAUCAUUAACCACAAUUUCCAAAUCUUACACGUAUGGCACCUCAUGCCCACAAUAACAAUUACCUUCGCACUCAAAGCCCACGUGCGACCGUGUACAUUUCAACAGAGACAAAUGUCAAUUAAAAUGAUCGAGAGAUGUAUUUAAAUACUAUAAAGAAUAGUAAAAUCUUGAAUAGAAUAAAGCGUCAAAUGAAAUAAUGAGUUUACUUUAGAAAUCAAAUAAAGUAAAGUAAGAUAGAAUUUACAUUAAAUAGAGUUUGAGAUGGGUAUAGUUUAGAAAUCAAUACAAUUGAGUAAAAUAUCAUAUUUAUACAAUACAAAACAUUUAUUAAAUUAACGAAUUAAAUAUAGAAUUUGAUAAAGAAAGACAUGAUAACAAUUUUGAGUAAGGUAAACGUCAACCAGGGUGAUGAGUACAAUUUGAGAACCUAAUUAUAGUGAAAGUGCGAUAACCAUUUAAAAUAAAGUGAGAUAACGAAUUCUAUCUUAAGAGGAAACAUAGAAUUAAGCAUCUUAUUAAUUCUUUUAUUUAAACCGUUAUGUUACCAACAACCCAACAAAAUAUGAUAUAGUGACUCCACGCAAUUAAAUUCGCAUUGACAAUCAAUUCACCAAGUUAUAAUGGAGGCACAGAUUGGCAUGUAAAAGCCUUACGACAAAUCACGUAGAAUGCAUGACUCAUACAAGAAGUUGCAAUCGUUCCAACACCAAGAUAAAAACGAAUAACCAAAUACAAUAAAAAUGCGGAUGAAUGAUUGAAGGAAGAACAAUAACCGUUCAAAUCAACAAGUUGUCCCAACAUAGAAUGUACAAUAUGAAUCACAACCAAGGUACCGCCUCGAGAUCACAUUUCAUGAGUCAUAAUCACAAUCUUUCCUUAUAUCACUGCGUGAGUCUUGCAUUUAGUUUUGAAAAUCAUUUCUCCCGAAAUAGCUACACGAGCCCCCUUAUCUCAUCAUGUGGCUUCAAGUAGUUCUCCUACUAGCAACACGCGUAUCAACCUAACUUAUCUCACCGCAUGUGUAUCAACCCCUAGCCUUAUACCACCACAUGCAUAUCAAUAUCACAACACAAUCACAACUCAUACCUGUCAUGCCCCGACCUCGGGGAGCGUGACCGGCGCACAACAGAGUUAUCCCGGUCGAGCAAGCCUGCAUAGUGCCAUCUACCCAACUCACCCAUGAAUAAAAAGAAGAAUACAUUUCAUUAACUAGAUAAUAAGAGGUCAUGUGAAUAACACUAGUUCAUUUCCAUUAGUUACAUCAUUAACAAGUCUCCAAAAUAGUACAUUGUAUAAUCAUAGUUAAAGUGGAACAGAUGAUACAAUUACAUCAUUUUUAGUUUAACCUUUCAAAAAAAAAAA